AGGUAUUCAAAUUCCUAGAUUUUUUGGCUCUAUGGGAAAUCUACGGUAUCUUAACCUUUCUAGAACUCGAAUCGGAGGAAUGAUACCUCAUCAUCUUGGAAAUCUCUCCAAUCUGCAGUUUCUGGACCUUAGUUCGAAUUAUUUAUUAUACGUUGAUAAUUUUUGGUGGCUCUCUGGUCUUUCUUUCUUGGAACACCUUGAUUUGCGUUCUGUGAAUCUAAGCAAAGCCUUUGAUUGGCUGAUGGUGACAAACAACUCCCUUCUUUGGUAGAAUUGAGAUUGGCAAAUUGUCAACUCCAUCACUUCUCACAACUAGCCACCGCAAAUUUUUCGUCUCUCACAGUCCUUGACCUUUCCGAUAACCAAUUUGAUAAAUGGUUUAUUCCUAGCUGGGUUUUUGGUCUCAGUCAUUUACUCUUUCUUGACCUAGGUUUUAAUAAUUUUCAAGGUCCGAUUCCUGGGGGACUUCAAAACUUGACUUCCCUUAGACAUCUGGGUUUAGAUUCCAACCACUUCAACUCUUCAAUUCCCAACUGGUUGUAUAGAUUUAUCCAUCUUGAGUACCUUAGUCUUAGCAACAAUAGCUUGCAAGGUACAAUUGAUUCAGAGGCCCUUGGAAACUUAACUUCCAUCAGUUGGCUUGAUCUCUCCUUAAAUAUGGGUAUUGAAGGGAGAAUUCCAAGGUCCAUGGCAAGUCUUUGUAAUUUAAAGUCACUUAACCUUCGGGGUGUCCAUUUGAGCCAAGAAAUUUAUGAGAUUUUAGAUAUUUUCUCAGGAUGUGUUUCCAAUGGAUUAGAGAGUUUGGAUUUACGAAGUAAUUCAAUAUAUGGUCAUUUGACUGAUCAGCUUGGCCAAUUUAAAAAUAUUGUCACUCUUGAUUUUGCUAAUAAUUCUAUUGUUGGUCUUAUUCCAGAGUCAUUGGGUCAGCUCUCAACCUUGAGAGUACUACGAAUAAAUGAUAAUAAGUUAAACGGAACGCUUUCUGAAAUCCACUUUGCCAAUCUAACAAAACUGUCAUGGUUCAGGGUCGAUGGGAACAAAUUGACGUUAGGAGUGAAGCAUGAUUGGAUUCCUCCUUUCCAACUUGUUGCCUUAGGAUUGCGUAAUUGUUAUGUAGGAUCCCGUUUUCCUCUAUGGCUUUAUUCACAAAAGCAUUUACAGUUUCUAUAUUUAGUCAAUUCAAGUAUUUCAGAUAUUUUUCCAAUUAGAUUUUUGAAAUCUGCUUCCCAAUUAAAGUUUUUAGAUCUCGGCCAAAACCAAAUUCAUGGGCCAAUACCAAAUCUAACCGAGUUUACUGGACUGUUGAUUCUUUCCGUGUAUUCGAAUAAUAUGUCGGGUCCAUUACCCCUCAUAUCAUCCAAUCUAGUUUUCCUAGAUCUUUCUAAUAACUUAUUCUCUGGAUCAAUUUCUCCUUUCUUGUGUUAUAGAAUCAAUGAGACGAAGAGCUUAAAUGCUCUUCAGCUAAAUGAUAAUUAUUUAAAUGGAGAAUUACCUGAUUGUUGGAUGAGUUAUCAAAAUUUGAAGACACUCAAACUAAGCAACAACAAAUUUACUGGUAAUCUUCCAUACUCAAUGGGUAGUCUAACUUCUCUUGUUUGGUUGCAUCUUGGCGAAAACAGACUGUCUGGGGAUAUACUUGUUUCUCUUAAAAAUUGUACAGCAUUAGAGUCACUUGAUGUUGGUGAAAAUGAGUUUGUGGGCAAUAUUCCGACAUGGAUUGGAGAAAGAUUUUCAAGAAUGGUUGUACUCAUCCUUCGUUCCAAUAAGUUUCAUGGCCCUUUACCCACAGGAUUAUGUGAUCUAGCUUUUCUUCAAAUAUUAGACAUUGUGGACAACAAUCUCUCUGGAGCUAUACCAAAUUGCAUUAAUAAUCUCACAGGCAUGGUCACAGCAUGCUCUUUUACACGCAGUGUUCAGCAAUAUCUACCACUUCCUAUAGACGUGGGUGUGAUUCUUGUAGAGAAGGCUUCAGUUGUGAGCAAAGGGGAAAUGGUUGACUAUGAAGAUAUUCUUAAUUUGGUAAGGAUGAUAGAUUUUUCCAGGAAUAAUUUCUCAGGAAAGAUUCCUUUGGAAGUGUCAAAUCUUAAAGCACUACAGUCAUUGAAUUUUUCGUACAACUCUUUCACCGGAAGAAUUCCUGAAAGUAUUGGUGUCAUGAGAUCAUUGGAAUCCAUUGAUUUUUCUGCAAACCAACUUUCGGGUGAAAUUCCAGAGAGCUGUCAAGUUUGACGUUUUUGAAUCAUUUGAAUUUGUCCAACAACAACUUGACUGGGAAAAUUCCUUCAAGCACUCAACUGCAGAGCUUUGAUGUAUCUAGUUUCGCUGGCAAUGAUCUCUGUGGAGCUCCUCUUCCUAAGAAUUGUACUGAGAAUGUUUCAAUUUCUGAAGAUGAGAAUGGAGAUGAAGAUGAAGACGAAGUGGACCACUGGUUGUAUGUAAGCGCGGCACUUGGAUUUGUGGUGGGAUUUUGGUGUUUUAUGGGCCCUUUGCUUGUCAGAAGAAGAUGGAGGUACAAGUAUUAUCAUUCCCUGAAUCGUCUUGGGGACAGAUUUGUUGGUGCCAUAAGAAAAUGUUGCUAGGUUUUCUCUGUUUCUUAUAGUUGUUCUGCUUCCAAGUAUUAUUUGAAAUAAACGAGUGGCCUUUUAUUUGUUUUGUGCCUGAAAGUGAACACUCGUGUGAAAUAAUUUUAAACAAACAGGACGAUAUUACAAAUCCUAGGAGAUCAUUCCUACUCAAAAAAAUUAAUCCUGAUAAAUCAAAAGUGAAAAGAUUUUAUUGUAUGGACAGUUCACCACGUAUAAGCUCAUUGAUUUCUAGAUUAAAAAAGAUCAUAAAUCACAACAUUGGUAUCAAAAUGUUGAUUCGUAAUACGAUAUUUAAAACAAAAAUGGAAAGAGAAAAAGAUAUUCGUAAUAAAUCACAACAGUUUUUUUUUUCCCAGGUGCAUCUGCUUGUUGGAAUAAUCAUUCCAUUCUGCAGUCUCAGAUCCAAAAUUUACUCAAGGGGGGAUAUUAUAUUCUCGUAACAAACAAAGUCACAUUAACAAGCAACAUGAAACUUUGAUAGAGAAUUAGAAAAGUUUCUCACAUUAACAACCAACAGGAGGGUUCCCUACAAAUUUCAUUUUAUGGAAUAUUUUCAAUGCAACACUGAGAUUCACAACUAUUCGAGUAAACAACUGUUUGGAAUACUUCCCUCCAAAUUUCAUUUGAAUAUGACAAAAAUGGCAUGUGGGCACCACCCUUCUAGAAGGUGGGCCCGCCCAUUUUGAAGAUGAAAGCAUUACUUCCGUCUUUGAUUGGAAGAAAAGAAAAAAAUAGAGAAAGAACGAAAAAUGGGUGUCGGGCCGAAAAGGGCAAAGAAAAAAAUUAAUAAAAUAAUAAAAAUAAUAUAUAAUUGAUGAAUAGUACCAAAACUUUCUCUAUAAAUAAAAACGAAGAGAAUGAGCAAAUGCAUUCCAUCGAGAGAAAAACAUUUCCUUCCUUUAGAAAGUUGUGAGUAUUAAGAGUUUAAUAAACUCUUGAGUGAUUAGUGUUUUGAGAGUUUGGGUGUAUUGGGAUUUUGAGUAGUGAGCUAAAAUACCACAAUAUUUGUAACUCUUUUUGACUAGUAAAAUAUUUUCCUUCUAUCUUCGCCAAUGGACGUAGGCUAAAAACCAAACCACAUAAUUUCCUGGUAUCCUCUUUGUGCUUAUUCUUUAUUUUUUUUCAAUUUUAUUUUAGCUGCGUGUCUGCUUCAACCAUCAAUUUCCUAACAGAAUAUACAUUUUUUUUUUGGAAAUAUUUCUUGCGAAGUCUCAUAGCUCCAGUACUGCAAGCUUCUUUGGCAUCCAAAUUUCUAGUCAUGUCAUUCAAUAUCUGAAAAAGGUACAAAAGAAACAAAAGGAAAGAGAAGAGAGAAUUAAUUAAUUGCGGGAAAAGAAAUUCCUAGAAAUCAAUUUAAAAAUAUGCUAGGGUUACGGGAUCCACUCUCAGUAUUCAAACUAUAGUUUUAAUACUCUUUUUUUAAUAUAUUUUUCCUUACUUUUACUGGUUAAUUAUUAUGUCAUUUAAUUCUUAACUAACUAUAUCUAUGGAUAAAUAUGGAAUCAAAAACCUAAUGUGCCACAACUAUAUUAAUGUGUCGACUUAAAUACUAGCUAUGCAACCCAAGAGGGGGUGAAUUGAGUUUAUAAAAAUUAUGUAAUACUUAAACAAAUCUUAAACAAAUUCAAAACAAUAAUAAAUAAAUCAAUCAAAAUGUAAAGAGAUAAGGGAAGUGAGAUUCAAACACAAAAAUUUUUAUAUGGUUCGGCCAACCCUGCCUACGCCCGUGCCUCUAAGUUCACCGGGCUUGAGGAUUCUACUGUCCAAGCCUCCAAGGCUUUAAGAACUUUUAUAAUUGACUUCACAGGUGUCAAUCAACCUUUACAACAAUAGAUUAUCUUAAAUCUCUUAACCCAAGUGUUUUCUACAUUCACAUUUUCUCAAAUACAAGAUUUUUCCCGCACACAAUCGAUGUGUUUACAAAUAUAUGCCCAAGGUGUGAUUUAAAGAAUAAAUGAAUAAAUUAAAGCUCAAGUAAUAUUGUAUUCUCAAUAAUAUGCUCUCUGGUAUUCGUUGGAUUCUCUUUGAUUUGGAUCUAAUGCAACCUUUUUAUAUUUGGAGCUGAAAACUAGUCGUUAUCUACUUUCUGCACAAAGUCGGAUCGCCGUUAAGCAUUAUCGAAUUGCCGUUUUGACUUGAGCGAGUGAUUGUUGUGCCAAAAUUCAAAUUGUCGGAUCAUCAUUUUCUAGAUGUCGAAUCGCUGUUAGUUUCUAGUAACUAAACUUCAAUUUUGUUCAAUGUCAGUUAGUCGUUUCCUCGUAAACGGUUAGCCGUUUGCUACAGUGAUUGCUACAGUGAAACAAUUUACUAAAAUUAUAUUUUUUCCCUAAAACUUUUUAAAUUAUACUAUAGCCCAAAACUUUAUAAAACUUUGCACAAAAGUCCAUUUCUAGAAUUUUAAACAAUAUUUGUUGAUUUCAAACUUUUCAAAACUUUUUUAAUUAGACCAUAAACUUGAAAAAUAACCAAUAUUAUAAAAUUAUUUGUUGGCUCCAUGGGAAAUCUACGGUAUCUCAAUUUUUUUGAAACUCGAAUCUGCGGAAUUAUACCUCAACAACUUGGAAAUCUCUCCAAUCUGCAGUUUCUUGACCUUAGUUCAAAUUAUUUAUUAUACGUUGAUAAUUUUUUGUGGCUCUCUGGUAUUUCUCUCCUGGAACACCUCGAUUUGCGUUAUGUGAAUCUUAGCAAAGCCUUUGAUUGGCUGAUGGUAGAAAACAAACUCCUUUCUUUGGUAGAAUUAAGAUUGUCAAAUUGCCAACUCCAACACUUCUCUCCAUUAGCUACCGCAAAUUUUUCGUUGCUCACAGUGUUUGACCUUUCCCACAACCAAUUUGAUAACUCGUUCAUUCCUAGUUGGGUUUUUGCUUUAAGUCAUUUGCCCUUUCUUGACCUAGGUUUUAAUAAUUUUCAAGGUCCAAUUCCUGGGGGACUUCAAAACCUGACUUCCCCUAAACAUUUGGGUUUAGAUUCCAACCACUUCAACUCUUCAAUUCCCAACUAGUUGUAUAAAUUCAUCCAUCUUGAGUACCUUAGUCUUCGCAACAAUAAAUUGCAAGGUACAAUUGACUUAGAGGCUCUUGGAAACUUGACUUCCAUCAAUCAGCUCGAUCUCUCAUUAAAUACUGGUCUUGCAGGGAGAAUUCCAAGAUCCAUGGCAAGUCUUUGUAAUUUAAAGUCAAUCAAUCUUCAGGGUGUCAAUUGUGAGCCAAUAAAUUUUUGAGAUUUUAGAUAUUUUCUCGGGAUGUGUUUCUAAUGGACUAGAGAGUUUAGAUAUGCAGAGUAGUUCAAUAUAUGGUCAUUUGACUGAUUAGCUUGGCCAAUUUAGAAAUCUCGUCACUCUUAAUCUUGUUAAUAAUUCAAUUGUUGGUUCUAUUCCAUGGUCAUUUGGUUAACUCUCAACCUUGAGAGAACUACAUAUAUAUGAUAAUAAGUUAAACGGAACACUUUUUGAACUUCACUUUGCCAAUCUGAUAGAAAUGUCAUGGUUUAGAGUAGGUGGAAACCAAUUGACGUGGGAAGUGAAGCAUGAUUGGAUUCUUCAUUUCCAACUUGUUGCAUUAGGAUUGCAUAGUUGUUAUAUAGGGUCUCGAUUUCCUCUAUGGCUUAAUUCACAAAAGCAUUUACAGUUUCUAGAUUUAGUCAACUCAAGAAUUUCAUAUAUUUUUCCCAUUAGAUUUUUGAAAUCCGCUUCCCAAUUAAAGAUUUUAGAUCUCGAAAAAAAGCAAAUUCACGGGGAGAUGCCAAAUCUAACCGAGUUUACUCAACUUUUGUUUCGUUCCCUGGAUUCGAAUAAUAUGUCGGGUCCUUUACCCCUCAUAUCAUCCAAUCUCGUUUACCUUGGCCUUUCAGAUAACUCAUUCCCCGGAACAAUUUCUCAUUUCUUAUGUAACAAAAUCAACGAGACAAAGAGAUUAGAAGCUCUUAAGCUAAAUGAUAAUUAUUUACAAGGAGAGUUACCUGAUUGUUGGAUGAGUUAUCAAAAUUUGAAGAUACUUAAACUAAGUAACAACAAAUUCACUGGUAAUCUUCCAAACUCAUUUGGUAGUUUAGCUUCUCUUGCUUGGUUGGAGCUUGGUAAAAACAGACUAUUUGGGACAAUACCUGCUUCUCUUAAAAAUUGUACAGCAUUAAAGUCACUUGAUGUUGGUGAAAACGGGUUUGUUGGCAGUACUCCAGCAUGGUUUAGAGAAAGAUUUUCAAGAAUGGUUGUUCUCAACCUUCGUUCCAAUAAGUUUCAUGGCCCUUUACCCACAAGAUUAUGUGAUCUAGCUAUUCUUCAAAUCUUAGACAUCGCGGACAAUAAUCUCUUUGGCGCCAUACCAAAUUACAUUAAUAAUCUCACUGGCAUGGUGACAACGAACUCUUUUUCACGCAGUGCUCAGCAACAUCUACCUGUUCCUCUAGACGUGGAUGUGAUUCUUACGGAGAAGGCAUCAGUUGUGAGCAGAGGGGAUGUGGUUGAAUAUAAUGAGAUUCUUAAUUUGGUAACGGUGACAACUGUUUCCAGGAAUGAUUUACCGAAAAAUGUUCCUUUGGAAGUGAGAAAUCUUAAAGCAACGCAAUCAUUAAAUUUUUCGCACAACACUUUCACAUGAAGAAUUCCUGAAAGUAUUGGUGUUAUGAGAUCAUUGGAGUCUGUUGAUUUUUCUGUAAACCAAAUUUCGGGUAAAAUUCCACGGAGCAUGUCAAAUUUGAUGUCCUUGAAUUAUUUGAACUUGUCCAACAACAAGUUGACUGGGAAAAUUCCUUCAAGCACUCAACUCUAGAGCUUCGAUGCAUCUAGUUUCGCUGGCAAUGAUUGUUGAAGUCAAACAAAUUGUUGGUUGCAACCAACAAUUGUAAGGUAGCAAAAUCAAAUUGAAUUUGAUUUUGCAGCCAAAAAGAAAGAAUGGACAAAGGGGAUGAAGCAAAAAUGUUUGAAUGGAGAAAGGGGAUGAAGCAAAAAUGUUUGAAUGGAGAAAGGGGAUGAAGCCAAAAUGUUUGAAAAAUAAUAAUAAUUAAAUAUUAUAUUUUCAAUUAUUUUAUUCUUUGCAUAGUAACUUAUUUCUCUUAUAAAUAGCUAGGGAUUUCAUUCAUCCCAAAAAUUUGUUAUGCUUAUAAGUUUCUAAGCUUUUGAGAGUUCUGAGAGUGUGAACAAUUGGAGAGUGUGUGUGAGAGUACUGGGUGUAUUUGGGUUCUGGGAAAGUGAGAUUUCUUUAUUCAAAUAUUUGUACUCUAUUAAUUGUUAAUAAUACAAUUAAUUUUCUCUUGCUCCCGCGGACGUAGGCAUAUUGCCGAACCACGUAAAUUUUGUGUCUUUUAUUUUUCUAUAAUUAUUUGGUGCGCUUGAUUCCGCAUUCCGCACAUAACAAGUGGUAUCAGAGCCGACAAUUUGUACUUGGAGGGAUAUGUUACUGUUCACGUUUACGAUACUAUUUCUAUAUACGGUAUUGUUUCACAUAUGGUAUUGUUCACGAAUACGAUGGAGACGACCAUUUGUACUUGGGAGACAUUAUAUUGUAAGUAGUGUGUAUUUUUAUAUGUCUAGGAAAGUUCUGUCAAUAAGGCGAUAAGAGUAUAAGGAUUCUGGUUUUUAACUGGGACCAAGUUCCCGUCAAGUCUCCUGAAAAAUUUCCUGGUGCAUUUAUUCACGCGAAAUUAACAUCAUAGAGGCUGUUUUUCAAGUGGAAAUAGUUCGUUGAGAAAAUGUAGAAGGUGAAACUUCCAAAAUUUGGGAGAGAUCUACCGAGACUAUUUCAGAAGACACUUUAGGUGGGAUGCGAGAUUUGUCAAAUCGUUAUUCAACACCUAUUAUAUAAGGCCAGAAGAUUAAUGUUGAAAAGUUUGAUAGGAAAAUCAACUUCGACAUGUGGAGGCGCGAAGUUAUGGAUGCCCUUAUUUAAAUCGAUCUCGAUGUGGUUCUGAAAAAUAAAAGACACUUGUAUGAUGAAGAAAUUUGGGAUCGUGUGAACGAGAAAGCUUGUGGUCAGAUCAGAUCUUGUUUGAUCAAGGAGGUGAAAUACUUGGUGAAAGAUGAUGAGUGUGCGAUGACUUUAUAAUGUACAUUGGAGGAGAAGUACUUGCUGAAAAGUCCUGAAAAUCGUCUUCAUGCAAUGAGGUAAGUAUAUGGCUUUCGAAUGAAGUCUGGGGUGUUAAUGCAUUAUAAUGUCUCAAGAUUUGAAAAGUUACUUGCUGAUUUGAAGAAUCUUGAUGAAAAUAUUAAGGAUGAAGUCAAGGCUAUAAUUCUGUUACACUCACUACUAGAGGAAUAUAGCCAUUUUGUGACUACCUUGAUAUAUGGGAAGAGUGUGAUUGUCUUCAAAGAUGUUUGCACAUCAUUGACUAACUUGGAGAUUCGAAAUAAUGAUAAAAAUUCUGAACGAGCAUCGUUUGAAGCUUUGGUGAGCAAAGAUUAGGCGAUGGAGAAAAAGAAGAAGCGUGGUGGAAAGAAUUCUCGAUCCAAAUCGAGAAGCAGAAAUAUAACUCGAGACGAGUGUGCCUCUUUCAUGAAAAGAGCCAUUAGAGAAAAGAUUGUCCAAGAGCUCAAAAGAGAGAUGUGAAGAAACCAGUAGUAGCAAACAUGGCACAGAAAGAUGAAGACUCUGAUUAUUCACUAAGUAUUACUUCUGCAGCAUACGUGUCUAGUUCGAGCAAGUGGAUACUUGAUACUAGAGCAACCUAUCAUUUGUGUCCUAUUAAAGAAUGGUUUACGGAUUUUCGUAAUCUGGAAUCUGGUGCAGUUGUGAUGGGGAAUAAUCAAUCUUGUCGUACAAUGGGGAUAGGAACAAUUCAGCUCAAAAUGUUUGAUGGAAUGAUAAGAGAACUCAAAGAGGUUAGAUUUGUUCCAGCUUUAAAGAAAAAUCUAAUUUCUAUGGGUGCUUUGGAAGCUAAAGGCUACAAGGUUACCAUUGAAGAUGACAUAAUGAAGUUUACACAUGGGGCUAUGGUGAUUCUACAAGGGGUUCGGCGUCACAAUUUGUACUAUUUGAAGGGAGGUACAACUGAUGAAGCAAAUGUUACUGAGGCGCACAGUGACACCACCAAGCUACGACAUGUACGACUGGGACAUACUGGAGAGAAGUAUUUGCAAACUCUGAUGAGGCAUUGACUCUUAAAAGGUACCAAAACCUAUAAAUUAAAUUUCUGUGAGCAUUGUGUAGUAGGCAAGAAAACAAGGGUCAAGUUUGGUAUGGCUAAUCACGAUACUCGUGAGAUCCUUGAAUAUGUUCACAGUGAUGUAUGGGGACCAACCAAGACUACAUCAAUUGGUGGAAUCCAUUAUUUUGUUACAUUUGUUGAUGAUUUCUCUAGACGUGUGUGAGUGUACACCAUGCGAGCAAAUGAUGAUGUUCUAGAGAUUUUUGUGAAAUGGAAGAAAUUGGUGGAGACUCAAACUGGUAGAAAGAUCAAAGUAUUACGAUAUGAUAAUGGGGGUGAAUAUACUUCUGAUCCAUUCUUGCAAAUAUGCCAGAACGAGGGUAUUAAAAGACAUUUCACGGUGAGACAUACUCCGCAACAAAACGGUGUGGCUGAGCAUAUGAAUCGUACUUUGCUAGAGAAAGUAUAGUGUAUGUUAUCUAAUGCUGGUUUAAAUAACAAGUUUUGGGCUGAUGCUGUGAGCUACGCAAGUCACUUGGUAAACCGGUUGCCUUCUACUGCAAUUGGAGAUAAAACUCCUAUGGAAAUGUGGUCUAGAAAGCAUGCACAAGAUUAUGAUGCCCUUCGUAUAUUCGAGUGUCCAGGUUAUUAUCAUGUCAAAGAUGGUAAACUAGAUGCUCGUGCUAGAAAAGCUAUCUUUGUGGAAUUCAAAGGUAGUGUAAAAUGACUUAAGCUUUGGGAUCUCGAAGAUAAAAAGUUUGUGUGUAGCAGAGAUAUCAUGUUUGAUGACGCUUCAAUGAUGAAAGCUUCAAGUUCUCAACAGGUGGAGAACAAGACCACAGAGGUAUUACAGCGGGUGGAGUUUGAUGAAACUCCAUAUGUACCAGUUAGUUCUACAUCAGAAAAUGAUUCAACUAUGGAGGUGACACUUAGAGUCUGAUGUCCCACAAAAUGAAGAAACAAUUGAUGAUAUGGAUAAUGAUGAUUCUAUAGCAACAAGGAGGCCAAGAAGAGAGAUAAAGAAAUCCGGAUGGCUUACUAAAGACAUGGUGGUAGCCUAUGCACUUCCAGUUAUUGAUGAUGACAUCCCCAACACUUUCAGUAAAGCAUUACGCAGCAGUGAAAGUGAUAAAUGGAAGUUAGCCAUCGAAGAAGAGAUGAAAUCUCUCCAUCAAAACCAGACUUGGGAACUUGUGGAGUUACCAAAGGGGAAAAGGGCUAUUGGCAAUAAAUGAGUCUACACCAAAAAGCAAGGAUCUCCAAAUCAAUCAACUUCUCGAUACAAGGCAAGGCUCGUUGCAAAAGGUUUUGCUAAGAAGGAAGCUAUUGGCUACAAUGAAGUUUUCUCUCCAGUUGUAAAACAUAAUUCCAUUCGUAUCCUACUUGCCUUAGUUGCAGAAUAUGAGUUAGAGUUGGCUCAAUUAGAUGUUAAGAUGGCAUUCUUACAUGGAGAUUUGGAGGAGGAAAUCUAUAUAACUCAGUCUUGUGGUUUUAAAGUUGAUGUAAUAGAGAAUCGUGUGUGCAGAUUGAUUAAAUCUUUAUACAAAUUGAAACUAAUUCUUUGAAUGCAUUGAGUUUGGAGAAUUAUGAACUACGAUUGGCUUGAUCCCAUAUUUUGGGUACGUAGGUAGUCGAAGUGACACAACCAUUUUGGAUCCUUAUUGAAGGAUCACCGUAGGGAUGAUGAUCCGUCGAUAGUCAGCUCAGAUUUGGCAAAUUUUCGCCGAGGUGGAGAUUUUUUGAAGUCAAACAAAUUGUUAGUUACAACCAACAAUUGUAAGGAAGCAAAAUCAAAUUGAAUUUGAUUUGCAGCCGAAAAGAAAGAAUGGACAAAGGGGAUGAAGCCAAAAUGUUUGAAUUAUAUUUUCAAUUAUUUUAUUCUUUGCAUAGUAACUUAUUUCUCCUAUAAAUAGCUAAGGAUUUCAUUCAUUUCAUUCAUCUCAAAAAUUUGUUAUGCUUAUAAGUUUCUAAACUUUUGAGAGUUCUGAGAGUGAGCAAUUGGAGAGUAUAUGUGAGAGUACUGGGUGUAUUUGGGUUCUAGGAAAGUGAGAUUUCUUUAUUCAAAUAUUUGUACUCUUUUAAUUGUUAAUAAUAUAAUUAUUUUUCUCUUGCUCCCGUGGACGUAGGCAUAUUGCCAAACCACGUAAAUUUUGUGUCCUUUAUUUUUCUAUAAUUAUUUGGUGCGCUUGAUUCCGUAUUCCGCGCACAACAAUGAUCUCUGUGGAGCUCCUCUUCCAAAAAAUUGUACUGAAAAUGUUUCAAAUUCAGAAGAUGAAAAUGGAGAUGAAGACGAAGAUGAAUUGGACCAUUGGUUUUAUGUAAGCAUUGCACUUGGCUUUGUGGCGGGAAUUUGGUGUUUUAUAGGCCCUUUGAUUUUCAAUAGAAGAUGGAGGUACAAAUAUUGUCAUUUCCUAAAUCGUCUUGAGGAGAGAGUUGUUGAUGUUGUAAGAAAACGUGGCUAGAUUUUCUCUGUUUUUGAGUUGUUCUGCUUUUUCAUGUACUGUGCUCACUGAAAGGAAUAGAAUAUUACUUAAAAUAAACGAAUGGCCUUUUAUUUGUUUUGUUCCUGAAAGCAAAAAUUAAUGCGAAAUAAUUUUUAAAUAAGGCGAAUGAUAUUCAUAUUAAAAAUCAUACGAGACUUUCCAACUCAACAAAAUUAGUACUGAUAAAUCAAAAUUGAAAAAGUAUAUUUUAUGGACACUUCACCAUCUAUAGGAUCAACAAUUUUUAUAUUAAAAAAGAUUAUAAAUCACAACAUUGGUAUCAAAAUGUUAAGAUCUUGAAAAAGUAAAUGGAAAAGAUUCUUAGAUUAACAAGCAACACUGCAACAGGGGAGGGGGCUCAACUAUUCUCUAUUAUGCAAUUUUGACCAGUAGUACUUCUCUCUUCUUUUACAUUUUAGGGUUAUUAUCAUUUUACUACUUCAGGAAUUGCCAAAUAUCAAAUGACUACAACAAUCGUUGUCUCCUAUUAUUUUACUACUAUAUCUUUAUAAAAAUAUCAUUUUACUACUUUUCCGUUAUAACUGUUAGUUGACCAGUUAGUUGACUAUCAAAAUACCAAUUUCACCCUUCAUGAUUAAAAAAAAAUAUUUGAAGCUUAUUUACAAAAUAAAUUUGUAAUAUAUUUAUUAAAAUAGAUAUAAAAUACCAACAUAUUUUUUUUGCUAGAAUUAUUAUAUAUGAAUUACAAAAUUUAUCUUAUUAUUAUUUUUAAUCAUGAAGGGUAAAAUUAGUAUUUUGUUAGUCAACUACCGGUCAACUAACAGUUAUAACGGAAAAGUAGUAAAAUGAUAUUUUUAUAAAGAUAUAGUAGUAAAAUGAUAGGAGACAAUAACUGUUGUAGUCAUUUGAUAUUUGGCAAUUUCUGAAGUAGUAAAAUGAUAAUAACCCUACAUUUUAUAUAUGGAAUAUUUUCAAUGCAACAUUGAGAUUCACAACUAUCCAUGUAAAUACUAAUUACAGCAAAACUCUCCUCCUUUAAAUUUGAAAAAAGAAAACUUAGGUGGCGUUUGUUUUUUUGUCUAAAAUCUGAAUAGACCUGAAUUAGUCUGAAUUCUGAAUAGAUCUGAAUGUCUGAAUCUAAAUAACAUGUUUUUUUUUUUCGUCUGAAUCUCGAAAAAUAAGUAUUAAGUUGUUUGUUUUUUUCAACUGAAAAAGCUGAAAAUAUGUACUUUUACUUUUGUAUCCUUAUUAAAUUUGAAAGUCAAAUAAAUAAUAUAUUAAAUACCACAAUAUUUUAACAUUUAUAAGUAAAACUAUAUUCAAGUGAAUACAUAAUUAUUUUGGAAUUUAUAUAUAUAAAAUACCAUAAAUUUUAAAUUUUAUCGUAUAUAAUAUAAGAAAGAAAAAAUAAUGAUAUUUUUAUAUGGGAAAAAUGUCUAUGGGUGAGUUUUGGGAUAGACAUGAAAAAUAAAUUAUAAAACAUGGAUAUUUUUGACAUUAGUAAGUAAUUGACUUAAUUCAAAUUUCUCCAUUAAGUAAAAAGCUAAAAAAAUUGGCUUAUUUUAUUAAGUCAAAAUUAUCUAAAAAGUCUCAUUAAGUUAUAAAAACAAACACCUCUAAUUAACUUAAUUAAUUAAGUUAAGUCACUUUAAGUCAUUAAGUUAAAAAACAAACGCCACCUUAGUCUUGGUUUAUUUCAUUAAAUAGAGUUAGUUAACGAUGUGUCACGAGAUAUAUAGAUAUUAGUCCAUAUAAUAUAAUAAUCGAUUGAGUUAAAGUCGUCAAAUCUGAAUAUUGUUAUCUUCUGACUUAAAAAGUCGUUUGCGUGGAAAGGACGUAAAUCCUAAUCCAAUUAACAGUAGGAUGAUGUUGAGUUGGAGUAUGCGAACGAACUAUAAGGUCACAAUUUAAGAUAAUUAUUUUGAAAGAGAGAAAUGGCCCUAUAAAUAGCAAUGUUGUUGAUAACACAAAUUCAAAUAAACAUUUACUCUUUAUUAAACCAAACAUGAGUGGUGUCCUUGUUUUUGCCUCACUUCUUGAAUUACUUGUCGUUAGCAUGAGUGGACAAAUUGAUGCGUGAUUUUAACGUAAAUAUAUACAAGGAUCACCGAUGAUUGACUUAAGUGAUUGUAAAUGGCAUCUGUGUGACUGUGUCCUUUACAUGUCCUCUUCAAUUGACUUAAAGUCGCUUCGCUAAGUAGGAGGUUACUUUGUGUCAUGUGCAAAUUGGAUUAUGCAGAAAACUGAGUUUCUAGUUACUUUUUCCAAUAAAAAGCCCCAAACGGAUGCUGAAUUGCUGAAAGAUAAGUUGAGAUUGUUCAUUAGAUCAAGGACAUUUUCCUUGUUAACAAAAUUAAUAAACGAACAUAUAAAAAUGAAGUAAUUAUCCAUAAGUACUGCUACAACAAAUAACUCUAAUGCAUAGACUAUAGAUUCCAUUUUGUCGGUGGCGGACUAAGGUUAAAAAUAAAGAAAUUCAUAAGGGUAUUAAUUGAAAUUUAAUCUAUUUCUUAAAAUAUUACAUCAUCAUUAUCCAUUAUUUACAAAAUUUUGAUUAUUGCCUCCAUAAGUUCGUAGUUCUUUUUUGGGCAUGUUUCAACCAAAAUACCGGUUUUGAAUUUAGAAUGCGAAACUCUCCGCAAAAUUUUUACUUUGAGACGUCAUAACACAGUUUUCUCAAAGUAAUUGACAUUUAAUUACGAACAAAAUAUCACCAUCGAUAUCGAUCCCAAUUAAAUUCUUCAAGUUCCUUCCAGUCUUGGUUAUUUUUAUUAAAUGGAGUUAGUAAGAUAGUCAUGAGAUAUUUCAUUAUCUACAACGAUCAUCGACUUGUGACAUUACCAAAUUAAAUAGUAUCUAUAUAUCGUCCUAUAUAAUGAAUAGACUUGAAGUCGUUUCCUCAUAAAGGGGGUUAGAACUGGAUUAUGCGGAAGAUUUAAUUAUAUGGCCUAUCGCUACUUUUUCCAAAUUAGAUUCCUGGCCCACUUUACUGAUUAUAUCAAAUGGAUGCUGAGUUUCUGAAACAUAAUCCAAGAGAGUAUCGGUCUUGUUAAUUGCAAUUCAUUAUAAAUAGCAAAGGUGUUGAUAACAUUAUCCUCAUCCACAUUUCCUUGACUAGCUAGCAAUGAAACCAAACAUGAGUGGUGUCCUUGCUUUUGCCUUAUUUCUGUUUGAAAUACUUGCCAUAGCAACCAUUAGCAUUAGCUUCUGCAGCGGAAGUUCUUAUCAUGGGGGUUGCCUUGAAAGUAAGAGAGGAGCACUUUUAAGGUUCAAGCGAGAUCUUAAAGACCCUUCCAAGACGAAAACAUUUUGGGCCAACUUAAUCCUCCAAUUGAUUAGAGAGACAACCAAUCUCAACAUGAUUAAAAUCAACCAAGAACUUUAAAAGAUUACAUGAAUCCAACAAGAACUGGAGCACCAUCGUGUAUAGUAUUUCCUCUAAAAGCAUCUCAAUUCAACUUCAAACCAGGUAUUAUCUAACUUUUACCGACAUUUUAUGAUUUAAAAUCUGAGAAUCCGUACGUGCAUCUAAGAGAUUUUGAGGAAGUUUGUAAUACAUACAUGGACCAAAAUUGUAGCAUGAACAUAAUUAGAUUAUAAUUUUUUCCUUUUUCAUUAAAAGAUAAAGCUAAAACUUGACUAUAAAACCUUAGAUCAUGUUAAAUUAGAAAAAAUAUCAUUACAUGGUUACUUCUGGAAUUGUUUUGGGUCAUGUUGUAUCUAUUAAAGAAUUGAAGUUGACAAAGCAAAAGUUAAAGUCAUAUCUAAAUUGCCAUAACAAAAAAUAGUUAUAGAUGUGCGAUCUUUUUCAGAACAUACAUGAUUUUUUAGAAGGUUUAUAGAAAACUUUAGUGUCAAAUUGAUAACUCUAGGAAAUGAGAGUUAUUACAUCAAUUCUAGACUUGAAUCAAGACUACUUGAGAACAAAUAAGGUGUUUUUAUUAUAUUUUGGUUACCUUUUGCAUAAACUUUCAUUUUAGUUGAGUCUUAAUAAGUUUUGCUUGAAUCAAAGUAAUUUGUACUAAAAACAGGUGUAUAAUUGUAGGUUUUAAAGUCAUGAGGGGAUGUUGAGGCAUUAGAAGAGCGAGAGGAGGAAAGAAGAUGGCCACAAAAGAAGUAAAGCACAAUCGGAAAUAAGGCAGUGUUGUAGCUGAUGUUAGAGCAACCAGUGCUGUAGCAAUCUGGGAGCAAUGCGAGAGAAAACUUAGGCACGAGUUAGCCAUAAAAACGCGAUCUGCAUGUUUCCUAAUUUAAACGCAUGCACGCUCAUGGGCUUUGGUUUACCCUAAUUUGCAAUAUAAAAAAGGAGGCGUGCACCAUAUAAAAGGCGGCGAAGGGAUAAUCAUCAGAAUAAUUACAAAGGAAAGAAGAAGAAGAUCAGAUUGAGAGAGUGUUGUUUCAGUAACAUUGAAGACUCGUGCAGAAUUAUUUGUCUUUCAUCGUGCUCAACUUAUAUUUCUCGUCUUCAUUUAAUUGUUUUGAUGUAUUCAUUGAUCAAUAUAUUUAUGUUUACUUUUCUCAUUCAGAGUAUGAACUAAAUUUACUUGUAGUUGAGUGACAAAGAAUCCAAUGGGUUCUUGACUGUUCUUAUAUGUUGUUAUGGCAUUGUUGUAGCAUUAUACUCUAGUAGUUUUUAUGAAUAUAACUGUUAUUUCGGUUGACCACCCAUUUAAUAGUUUCAGUUAAGAUAGAGCAGCAAAAGAGCAUGUCUUAGCGGAUGUUAUUAGAGUAUUACUUGAUCUUAAGUCGAGUUUCCUGGAUUAAGUUAUCUUAAAUCCCAUAAGGGCAAUACUUGAAGUUAAGAUUUGUGACACACUAGACAUAGAUGUUCACCUUGUAGGGUGGAAAGACUAAAGACCAUAAUGACAUACUAUAAGUAGAUUAGCAACUGGUCAUUGUUAAUAGAUUUAAGGGUAUGAGACUUCCAAUAUGCGGCAGCUGAGGAUGCAGAUAAACUCUGUCCAGUGCUGCAGCACUGGUCGUAACAACUGGUACUAAUUUGAUGAAAAAACAGUCAACCCCAAAGGAAAAUUUGAUCAUUCAACUACAUUAAUUUCAAUUGAAUCUUGGACACACUUAACCUAGUUAUUUCAUUACGAUAUUGUUUUAUUUAAUUCUUAUCUCAAUCAUUGAUUACAAUAGACAUUACUUGACAAUUGUUUGCUUCGGGUUUAAGUUGAGUUGCGCUAUUGUGAGUGCUGUAGCAUUUCGAGUAACAUUAAUCCAUGUGGAGACGAUCAUGAAUACUUAUCACUUUAUUACUUGUUGUGCAUACUUGCACAUUGGCAUUGAUAGUAAUUGCUUAUAAAAUUUACCAACACAUAUCUAAACCACUUUGUAACCUCUUAUUAAAAGAUGCACCAUUUGAAUGAACUGAUGAUUGCCAAAAAUCUUUUGAGAAAAUAAUUUGUCUUUUAACAUCAGCACCCAUUAUGCAAUCUUCUGAUUGGUCUCUUCCUUUUGAAUUCAUGUGUGAUGCAAGUGAUUUUGUUGUUGGUGUUGUUUUUGGACAAAGAAUGGAUGGUAAGUCGUUUGUGAUUUAUUAUGUGAGUAAGACCUUGGAUGGUACCCGAAUGAAUUAUUUGACAACUAAAAAAGAAUUACUUGCAGUGGUGUUUGUAUUAAACAAAUUUCGUUCAUAUUUGCUUGGUUCUAAAACUAUUGUUUUUACUGACCAUGCUGCUGUGAGAUAUUUGAUGACUAAACAGGAUGUCACAACCAAGACUAAUUCGAUCGAUUUUGUUACUUCAAGAAUUUGACCUUACCAUCAUUGAUAAAAAAGGUGCCGAAAAUGUCGUUGCUAAUCAUUUAUCAAAACUCACAUUCGAAUUCUGCACUGACGUAACACCCAUCAAUGACUCCUUCCUAGAAGAAUUUUUAUUUUCUGUUACUUUAAUGCUAUGAUAUGCUAACAUUAUUAAUUUCUUUGUUACAGGUAAAAUGCCUUUGCAAUAGAAUACUCAAGAGAAGAAGAAAUUUUUAGUUGAAGUAAAGAAAUUUUAUUAGGAUGAUAUUUCACACAGGUGGUAUUUCACACAUGUAGUAUUUUAUGUAUUUUAUUUAGUCUUUAAUAUGGCAUACCUAGCAGAUGUUAUAUAAUUGUGUUUGAGAAUUUUAUUUUAAAAUGAUUUUAUCUUUUUAUUGAAAAUUUUUUAUUUUAUUUUUAGUGAAUUAUACAGUAAAUUAUUGACAAUUUAACAAAAAAUAUUUCAAAUAAUUGUUCAAAAAAUAAUAAAAUAAAUUAUUAUUUAAAUAAUAAAAAUGAAAUCGAUUAUUGCGUCAAAUGAUAUGGGUUCUCACGGCUAAACUAAUCAAAGUUAAAAAACGUGUCACUCCCAAACGAAUACCUUCGCAUGGAGGUCGCCCGGUGGGGCAACGCGCAAAUUGGAUUAGUGACUGAGAUUCUCGUUGCUCCUUUCCAAAUUAAAAUUUUCAAACGGAUGCUAAAUUGUUGAAUAAGACACCAAAUUCUAUUUCCACCUGUCGUUGUAAUGAUAUUAUAUCUUUGCUGCAUGUGUCACACUCUCACAUCCGUACAAGAAAUAUAAUAAAUAAAUAAUAUGAGAUAACGGAUGGUAAUAAUAUAGCAUGCCACCUCAGGUAUGUACCUCAGAAAUAUAAUUUAAAAAUAAAAAUAUAUAAAAACCCCUUUAAUUUAGGUUAAUUUAAAAUGUAUAAGGAAUAUUUCAAAUUUGAUAAAAGGUUUAAAAUGUAUAAGAAAUAUUAACGUUUAUGUGCAUAUAAAAUUUUUAAAAUUAACAUGAAGUUUCCCUUAGUAAUUAAUUUUAAACACUUAAAAAUUAACAUGAAAUUUUACUUAAGUAGUAAUUAAAAUUUUAAACACUUUAUUUGAGAAUAAAAUCAUAAAUUAAAAUUAAUGAAUUGCACUUGAUAGUCUCAACUUACCCGAGCGGUUCGGCAUUCAUUUGAAAUUGUUAAUAUACUAUGGACUUCCUUGUUAUCUCCUAGUUAUGGAAGUGACUAAUGUAGCAUUUAUUUUUUUGUUUGAAAUUUAAAUAAACUUGAAUUAGUCACUAUUUUAAAUAGUGUUGAAUCUAAAUCAUAUUUUUUUUGUUUGAAUUACCAAAAAUAAGUAAUAAUUUAUUCUUUCUUUUAACUUAAAAAUAUGAAAAUCAGUAUUUCUACAUUUGUGCUCAUAGAAAUUAAAAAUAUUAAAUAAAUAAUAAAUAUUUCAAAGAAAAUAAAUAAAAUAAUAUGUUAUCAUAACAUAUGGUUAUUGCGAUCUUAAUAAAAGAUUUACUUUUUCUAUCCGUCGGUGUAGGCCAAUGACCGAACCAUAUUAAUUCUCCGUGUUUUUCUUAUUAUAUAACCUUAGCUAAACUAGUUCUCUAGUUGACCGCAUUUCUACAUCUAACAAUUCUUGUGAUGUAUAGGCAGCUGAAACAAUUUUUUGCGUUUUAAAACCUUUCUGACUGUAUAUCAUCAUUUUUUUUUUACGCACACCAGGAUUUGUGACGGCUAUACGGCCAAUCUCCGAUGCAAUAAAUAAAUAAAUAAUAAACGAUGUCUAUUUCCACCGCAUAUGACUAUUACGCCAACGUUAUGGAAGUUCCUCACAAAUUUACGAAAAUGACCCUUUAUCUAAUAUUUUGAUAUUUUGUAAUUCUAUCCUCAUCAACAUUUUUAUAUUAAUUAAAAUUUUUAACGAACAUCAGUUGUAAGGUCCACAUCACAAUGACACAUCAUUAGAUACGUGACUACACGCACUAUGACACAUCAAGAUCACAAUGUUUUUAAUUAAGUUCAGUCUUAUUACAAAUGCACAACUGUCUGUCUACUAGUCCUUUUAUGUUUGGGAGCUAGAGUAAGUGUAGGAUUAGAUUAAUUUUCUAGACAAAAUAUUUAUUCCAUGUUUGACGGGCUCGCUUAAAUUUGAUUAAGAGGAUUAAAUUCAAAUUUACUUUUACAAUCAUAGGAUUAGUUAUCAUAAUUUUCACAUGGGUUUAAGGAGAAUUAGAGAAAGCAAUGUUUGUCCCUUUAUGACAAUCUGUUUGUUUAUUAAUGAGUUGUUAUCUAUUUAAUUAAUUAUUUAUUUUUAUUCAUGAUUUCUUAAAAAUUAAGUAUUUAUUUUUUAUUCUACCCAUGUCAUCUUUUAUCAUUUAUUUAUUUAAUGUUAAAAGUAAUGCAUUAACAAAAUUACUUUUUAGAAACAUGCCAUUUAUCAUUUGAUUAUUAUACAAAUAUUUUUAAAAUAUUUGAUAAAUAAUUAAUUUUAUAUUUAACUAUUUUAGUUAUAUUUUUUUAAUAGGCAAUAAUAUGCAUCAUAUAUAAAAGCAUAUAAUUUUCAUAAUUUUAGUUGUUCUUGUUAAAAACCAUUUAAUUUCACUUAAAUUUAAUUUAACAUAGUGUAAUUAAAUAUUAUACUAAAUAUAAGAUUGUACUACAUAUAAAAAAUACAAUGUAAUCCAAUUCAAUUUAAUCUAAUUGAAUUUUAAGUCUAUUUAAUCAUGCUUACUAAACGUAGCCUAACCUAUAACUAAAUCAUACAGUAUAUGAUUGAUUGAUAAUGAAAGAGUAAUCGCUGGCAGACUUAUGUUGUGGCUUGAGUCCAUUUCUUUGGAAAUAUUACAUCCAAUUUGGCCCUGCCAAUCGACCAGAUAGUUCAAAUUGACAAAAUGUCAAAAUCAAUACCAAUAAUUAAUUUGAGAUCUGGAAAGAAUGUUGAUAUCCCAGUUGAUGUGACCAACAAUUGGAUGGAAUGCAAUUCAGCACAAAAACCACUUCAAAAUGGAAGCAUGUUACAACAAACUACCCAUCAAGACACUGAUUACAUGGGCCAAGCUACAGCAACUGCAGAAGAAAUUCAACCAGAACAUGCUGAAAAAGAAGUUGCAACACCAAUAACCACUUCCUAUACCAAACUAAACAAACAAAGUUUGGUAUCCCCUGAAUCUAACCAGCAGUUUAGACAUCCACCACAUUUCCCACAAAGGUUCCAGAAGCAAAAACAAGACAAGCAGUUCAACAAAUUCCUGGAAGUGCUGAAACAAUUACACAUCAAUAUACCUUUCGUGGAAGCUUUGGAGCAAAUGCCAAAUUAUGUGAAAUUUCUAAAAGACAUCUUGGCAAGAAAGAGAAGACUGGGAGAAUUUGAAACUGUUGCUUUAACACAAGAAAGCAGUCAUAUGCUCCAAAGUAAGAUUCCUGCAAAAGUGAAAGAUCCAGGGAGUUUUACAAUACCCUACUCUAUAGGAACUAGGUAUGCUGGCAGAGCACUUUGUGACCUGGGAGCUAGCAUUAAUUUGAUGCCAUUGUCUGUAUUUAAGCAGUUGGGAGUUGGGGAAUGCAGACCAACAACAGUCACUUUGCAAUUAGCUGAUAGAUCUCAUGCAUACCCUGAAGGAAAAAUAGAUGAUGUACUGGUGAAGGUUGACAAAUUCAUCUUCCCAGUGGAUUUCAUUGUACUGGAUUUUGAAGCUGAUAAAGAGGUACCCAUUAUACUGGGAACCUUUUCUAGCAACUGAAAAGACUCUGAUAGAUGUGCAGAAAGGAGAGCUCACCAUGAGAGUAAAUGAUCAGCACGUCACAUUUAAUGUACUAGAAGCUAUGAGGAACCCUGAUGAAGUAGAAGAUUGCAAUUUCCUGAGUGUAGUGGAUUUUGUUAUAGCAAACAGAAUGAACAGAUGCUGCAGUAAUUCAUUUGACAAAGUCACUACCUUUGAUGAUGUAGAAGAGGAAGAUGUUGCAGCAAUUCAGACAGAUUGGAUGGAAGAAAAGCAAUCUGAUAGGCACAAUAGGUUUAUUGAACAUUUGAAUCUUUUAAACAGGGAAGUAAAAACAAUUUUACCAUCUAUUGAAUCACCUCUUAGUCUUGAAUUAAAACUGUUACGUUCACAUUUGAAGUAUGCUUAUCUUGGUCAAAAUAACACAGUCCCUAUAAUCAUCUCUUCUACUUUGGAUGCAGGUCAAGAACAGAGUCUAGUAGAUUUACUUGGAAAAUACAGAAGAGCAAUUGGAUGGACCAUGGCAAACAUAAAAGGGAUAAGCCCAUCAAUAUGCAUGCAUAAAAUCUUGUUAGAAGAUUGCUCCAACAAUUCGGUGGAGCACCAGAGAAGGUUGAACCCCAUCAUGAAAGAAGUAGUGAAGAAGGAAAUCAUCAAAUGGUUGGAUGCUAGAAUCAUAUACCCAAUAUCAGACAGUUCAUGGGUGAGCCCAGUUCAAUGUGUUCCAAAUAAGGGAGGGAUAACAAUAAUAACUAAUGAGAAAAAUGAACUUAUCCUUACAAGGACAGUGACUGGAUGGAGAGUAUGUAUGGAUUACAGGAAGCUCAACAAAGCCACAAGAAAAUACCACUUCCCACUGCCAUUCAUAGACCAGAUGUUGGACAGACUUGCUGGAAAUAAUAUUAUUGUUUCUUAGAUGGGUAUUCAGGCUACAACCAGAUUGCUAUAGCUCCUCAGGAUCAGGAGAAAACUACAUUUACUUGUUCUUAUGGAACAUUUGCCUUCAGAAGAAUGCCCUUUGGGUUAUGCAAUGCUCCAGCAACUUUUCAGAGAUGCAUGAUGUCUAUAUUUUCUGAUAUGGUAGAGUAGACUUUAGAAGUUUUCAUGGAUGACUUCUCAGUCUUUGGAGAAACAUACAAUGAUGGUUUACACAACCUGAAAGAAGUUCUUGAAAGAUGUGAGAUGACCAACUUAGUACUCAAUUGGGAAAAAUGUCAUUUUAUGGUGCAAGAAGGAAUAGUGUUGGGUCACAAGGUAUUCAAGAAUGACAUUGAGGUAGACAAAGCCAAGAUAGAGGUAAUAGAUAAAUUGCCACCUCCAACUUCAGUAAAGGGUAUCAGGAGUUUUUUGGGACAUGCUGGAUUUUACAGAAUAUUCAUUAAGGAUUUUUCCAAGGUGGCUAAACCAUUAUGCUCAUUGCUGGAACAUAAUAAGCCCUUUUACUUUGACAAAGAGUGUCAUCAAGCAUUUGGAGAAUUAAAGAAAGCUCUUAUCACUGCUCCAGUAAUCAUAUCUCCAGACUGGACUUUACCAUUUGAAUUGAUGUGUGAUGCUAGUGACCAUUCUGUGGGAGCAGUAUUAGGGCAAAGAAGGGACAAGGUUUUUCACUCCAUAUACUAUGCAAGCAAAACUCUUACUCAAACUCAAAUCAAUUACACCACUACAGAUAAAGAAUUGCUAGCUGUAGUAUUUGCUUUUGAUAAAUUCAGAGCCUACUUGGUGAGCACUAGAGUGACUGUAUAUACAGACCAUGCAACCAUCAAAUACUUAAUUUCAAAGAAAGAUGUCAAGCCAAGAUUAAUCAGAUGGAUCUUAUUGCUACAAGAAUUUGAUUUGGAAAUUAAAAAUAGAAAGGGGAUUGAGAAUUAAAUAGCAGACCACAUGUCAAUGUUGGAAGCAUACACAAGCACAUUGACAAGGAAAUACAUUACUGAAACUUUUCCUGAUGAACAACUGUUGGUGGUACAGCAAGCACAGAUGUUGCAGCAGUCAGAAUCUCCAUGGUAUGCAGACUUUGCUAACUAUUUAGUAAAUUGGUUGCUACCACCUAAGCUGAAGUUUCAAGAGAAAAAGAAAUUUCUUCAUGAUGUUAGAAGUUACCAAUGGGAUGACCCACAUUUAUAUAAGCUGUGCACAGAUCAAGUAAUACGAAGAUGUGCUGCAGAAGGAGAGAUUCCCCACAUACUGGAGUCAGGUCAUGCUGCAGCAUAUGGAGGACAUUUUGGUGGUCACAGAACAGCUGUUAAAGUACUGCAAUCAGGUUAUUACUGGCCAACUAUUUUUAAAGAUGCUUAUGAAUUUGUUAAAUGUUGUGACAGGUGUCAAAGGACAGGGAACAUAACUAGAAGACAUGAAAUGCCGUUGACCAACAUCCUGGAAGUGGAAAUUUUUGAUGUCUGGGGAAUAGAUUUCCUAGGACCUUUUCCCCCAUCCUUUGGGAACUUAUAUAUCCUUAUUGCUGUGGAUUAUGUCUCCAAGUGGGUAGAAGCUGCAGCUUUUUCUUCAGAAAAAUAUUUUUUCCAGAUUUGGCACUCCUAGAGCAAUUAUUAGUGACGAGGGUACACAUUUUUGCAACAAAAUCUUUGCUGCAGCAAUGGUAAAAUAUGGAGUCAGACACAAGGUAGUUACAGCAUAUCACCCACAAUUCAAUGGUCAGGCUGAAGUUUCCAACAGAGAAAUUAAAAAGAUCUUAGAAAAAGUGGUGAACCCAACAAGGAAGGAUUGGUCUUUACACUUACAUGACUCUCUAUGAGCCUACAGAACAGCAUACAAAACUCCACUCGACAUGUCCCCUUACCGAAUUGUUUAUGGCAAGGCUUGUCAUUUGCCACUAGAGCUAGAGCAUAAAGCACACUGGGCACUAAAGAAAUUAAAUUGGGAUAUUCAUGCUGUAGCAGAGCAAAGGAAGCUUCAACUUUGUGAGCUUGAUGAAUUACGGCUAUUUUCAUAUGAAAAUGCAAGAAUCUAUAAAGAGAGGACAAAACAAUGGCACGACAAGCAUAUUUAGCACAAGAAAUUCAACCCUGGUCAAUUAGUGUUGCUCCACAAUACAAGACUAAGGUUAUUUCCGGGAAAGCUCAAGUCACGAUGGUCUGGCCCAUUUAAGCUGCUCAAAUUUUAUCCUCAUGGAGCUGUUGAUCUUCUAGAUGAACAGACAGGUCAAGAAUUCAAGGUUAAUGGACACAGGGUUAAGCACUACAUACAUCUAGCGGCAGAUUGUUCAAAUGAGGUGUUACUCCUUAAAGAACCCAGCUAUUGAACAAUGAAAGAAGGUCAGGCUGAAAGACCUUAAAUCAAGCGCUCCAUGUGAGGCAACCCAUUGGGGAGACAGCCACUUCAAACCAACUUUGACAUCCUUUGGUUUUGUAGACAGCUCUCCCUCUUUACCAUCUUAUUUAAUUUUGUUUUUCUAUGUUAGCCAUUUACUUUUAUCCUUUUACAUUAUUGCAUUCUUUAUUUUCGCUUUAAUUUGAUCUAUUUAUUUCUUUUAAUAAUUUUAGAAUUAAUUUUAGUUUGUGAGAAGUAUGUGUGACAAUUGAAUUCCAUAUUGACAAGUGAGAGUGGAUGGUGGUAGAAUGCAGAGGUGAGCCACGUGUCAGAAGCUUUAGUGUGGAGUAUGUAUCCGUUGUUAGAGUAAGCAAAUGGGUGCUGCAGCAACUAAUUUUACUGUUACAGUAAAUUAAAAGCUGGAGCUUUUCACUUACCGUGGAGAUAAAAUCGUGACAAAUGGACGCAUGGAUAUGGAUAGAAAUUGCGGAACCAAAUCUCCGAAAUUAAAGCUUUAAUUUCACUGGCCGAUGAUUUUGGGAUAUGCACAUUUAAUUCAAAAUAUUUUAUUCCCUCAAUUAUCUCUAGUUACCGUAUUUAUCUUUAAUUAAAGUCCACUAUAAAAAGGAGUCACUGUGCUUAGUGCUCUACGACAAUAUUACCCAUCUCCUUCGCAAAUACAACUCUCCUAAUUCUUACCCUCUUCUUCUCAUUUUACUCUCAGGAACAUUAACUUCAAUUUGCUACUGCUACAGCAAUGCCGAGGUAUAAGAAAACAGCCAGCUGCCUCAAAGAUCUGUCACGCUUCCAGAGUUACCACGCCGAAGAAAAAUAUGAAGAAUUCAUAGAGCCGCGUAAGAUUCUGGAAGAAAAAAGGUUACAAUUUCCAGACCAACUCACUGGAAUUGUGCAAACAAUUCAUAAUGCUGCAGCAAAGCGAGGAUGGUUAGAGUUUUGCAACCACCCUCGAGAUCAUGUACUACCCGUAGUCAAAGAAUUUUACGCAAUUUGGUAAGUCUUGAUCAGCACAACAUUUGGGUAAGAAAUACACUUGUUCCAUUAGACUCCCGCGUUAUAAAUGCUUUUUAUAAUUUACCUGCUAAAAUUAAUUGUGAGUAUGCCAAGUUGCGUGAUAAAUUAAGCCCGAAAAAGUGGACCACCAUUUUCACAAACGCUUACAAUCGAAGGGGCAUCAUGGGCUAACGAGGAAGGGCGUGUAGUUAAUAGGAUAGAUUUGAAGCCUAUUGCUAAGGUGUGGGUGAAAUUUCUGAAAUAUAGGCUUCUGCCCACCACUCACACUACUACAGUUUCGCAAGAGAGGUUGGUCUUGUUAUAUGUCAUUGUUCGAGGGCUUCCUAUAGAUGUGGGUAGCAUCAUUGCAAAAGAAAUCCGGGAUUGUACAGUCAAGACUCACCGAACGGCUACCUUGCUAUUUCCUUCACUCAUCACUAGCAUUUGUGUAGUUUCUGGUGUUCGUCUUGACGCUAGAGAUGACCAUGUCAAGAGUGAUGGUGCCUUUACGGCACGUACCAUUGAGAGAGUUGCUGGUGAAGUGCUGGAACAACCAUUGAACCAGCUGUUGUAACAGAGCAAGACGAGCUAUUGGCUUAGAACAGACCAUCCAGGCACUCAGCACCAGUAUCACUCAGUGUGCAGAAGCUCAGCAGAGAGAAAAUGAUCGGUUUUGGAGUUAUCUACAGCACCUGGACAACCAACUACACCAAUUUACUCUGUACAUGAAACGCAUUCACCGGAACUUCCCUGAUUCACUGCUCCAGCAGUACAAUUUUGACACCAACACCACAGAUGCUCCAGCAGAAGCCAGUGAAGAAGCCACUGCCACAGAUGAACCAGCAGAUGAAGCUGCAGCUGAACCACAAGCAAAGGUAGACUCAAAAGAUGCUGAUCCAUCUGACCCACCUGAGGAUGAAGGUGACAAGUCUAAGACUGAUAGCUCACCCACGGAGGCAGAGGACAAUUCAGAGAAAGAACGUGAGGAACCAACCAUCCCAACCCAGUCCAAAACCAGGAAACAACACAUCAUUCAAAAAGAGGAGGAGGAAGACCUUGAAGAGGAACUGUCUAUUCUAGUCUUUAUAGGCAAGGGAAAGGACAAGGGUAAAGCAAAAAUGGCCACACCUCCAGCCUCUGAAGAUGAAAUGGAGCAAGUUGAUGCCGAGCUGGCUGCUGCAGCAGCCAGAGUUACGCCUACAACUGAACAAGCCAAGCAACUACUGGCGAUCAUUGCUGCCAUCACAGCUGAGGGCCAGGCAGCUGAUGCAUCAACUCCAAUUCCUCCACAGCAGACUCCUACCCAGCCUGUUCGCACCAGUCCAUGACAAUCCAGCAAAAGAAAAGGCAGUACGUCCAAAGGCACUACUACAACAACCCCAGCCACAACUCCUCUAACCAGCCCCGUGACGAAAAAGACAAAGACAUUGCCAGUUACUUCCCCACAAGCUUCCCCAAAGGAUAAGCUGCGCAGUGCAGCCAAGAAGUGCUGAUUGCAGUCCCCACCACAGGGGAGUUUUCUUUCUUUACUAGUUCAUUUCGUAAAAAAAAAUAUAUAUAUAUCUACCUUCUGUUUGUCAAUUUGUGUGGUAUUUUCUAAGGUCUUCCAUAUCCUUGUCAGUUUGUGUACCUUUGUUAUGUAUGCUUGUGAGGACACAUCAACUCUCAAGUUUGGGGGGGUUGUGUUUCUGAAUGCAUAUGUUUAUGUUUGUAUGCAUGUGUUUAUGUUUGUAUGGUGUGAAGUCUGUUAUCUAAUAUUUGUGUAUGGAUUUGAAAAUGUAAUGAAGAUAAAUUGAGUGCUAUUCAGUAUUUAUAUGCCCAGUAGAGAUAGUUAUAGAUGAAAGUGAAAUUAUAUCCUGACACUUAGACUUUUGUUGAAUUGUAUGAGACUACUAGAGCAAAGCCAAAAGAAUAGAAAAGAUCCUAAAUUUUGGGGGAAGAAGCAAGUUUGAUUAACUGUAAUAUCUAUGAAACAUAAUAUGUUCCAAUGGCUCAAGUUGCUGAGUAACCAGAUUUGAGUAUGUACCCCAUAUGCAGAAUUGUGUUCAAAGGUAGCGAGAGUUAUGAGCAAUGCUGAAGCAUGUUGUUAUAAAAAAAAAACAAAAAAAACAAAAAGAAAAAGAAAUCCUCUGUCUAAGGCAUUGAGUAGCCAGGUCUGUUCAUGAGCCCCAUGUUCAGCCUUGAGUAAAAGAUACCUCUAGAUAAGAUUACAUUACAGAAUCUUGCUACAACAACUCUAAUUUGGGCAUGGUUUGAGUAAUUGGGUGUCAUCAUUACAAUUGAUUGACAUUCACAUGAAAGAUAAAUGUUACAGUGAGGAGGUUGAAUAUUCCCUAGUUUAUCAAUCUUAAAAUCAUCACAGUCUGAGUAUGUAAAAGUUAUGUUACCCCAUUUAUGAAUGAAGUGUUCUUACUACUGAAAUUCAUGCAAUCCCUUGGUGAUGUUACAGCAUCUCUGGAAUUCAAUCGAAGGAACACACACACACUAUGGACAGAAAGAAGCUUAAGUCUAGAGCUAAUUUACUAUGGUCAUUUUGCAUGAUUGGGAUUGUGAUCUGAAGGUGGAAGAAUCCUUGCAAAUUUGAUAAAAGAGCUAAAGUUGUGUGCAUGAUUGUUUGCGGGAAGUGUUAGUAUAUGUCAUUACUUGAGGGCAAGUAAUGGUUUAAGUUUGGGGGUGUGAUAACUCUAGGAAAUGAGAGUUAUUACAUCAAUUCUAGACUUGAAUCAAGACUACUUGAGAACAAAUAAGGUGUUUUUAUUAUAUUUUGGUUACCUUUUGCAUAAACAUUCAUUUUAGUUGAGUCUUAAUAAGUUUUGCUUGAAUCAAAGUAAUUUGUGCUCAAAACAAGUGCAUAAUUGUAGGUUUUAAAGUCAUGAGGGGAUGUUGAGGCAUUAGAAGAGCGAGAGGAGGAAAGAAGAUGGCCACAAAAGCAGUAAAGCACAAUCGGAAAUAAGGCAGUGUUGUAGCUGAUGUUAGAGCAACCAGUGCUGUAGCAAUCUGGGAGCAAUGCGAGAGAAAACUUAGGCACGAGUCAGCCAUAAAAACGCGAUCUGCAUGUUUCCUAAUUUAAAUGCAUGCACGCUCAUGGGCUUUGGUUUACCCUAAUUUGCAAUAUAAAAAGGAGGCGUGCACCAUAUAGAAGGCGGGAAAUGGAUCAUCAUCAGAAUAAUUACAAAGGAAAGAAGAAGAAGAUCAGAUCGAGAGAGUGUUGUUUCAGCAACAUUGAAGACUCAUGCAGAAUUAUUUGUCUUUCAUCGUGCUCAACUUAUAUUUCUCUUCUUCCUUUAAUUGUUUUGAUGUAUUCAUUGAUCAAUAUAUUUAUGUUUACUUUUCUCAUUCAGAGUAUGAACUAAAUUUACUUGUAGUUGAGUGACAAAGAAUCCAAUGGGUUCUUGACUGUUCUUAUAUGUUGUUAUGGCAUUGUUGUAGCAUUAUACUAUAGUAGUUUUUAUGAAUAUAACUGUUAUUUCGGUUGACCACCCAUUUAAUAGUUUCAGUUAAGAUAGAGCAGCAAAAGAGCAUGUCUUAGCGGAUGUUAUUAGAGUAUUACUUGAUCUUAAGUCGAGUUUCCUGGAUUAAGUUAUCUUAAAUCCCAUAAGGGCAAUACUUGAAGUUAAGAUUUGUGACACACUAGACAUAGAUGUUCACCUUGUAGGGUGGAAAGACUAAAGACCAUAAUGUCAUACUAUAAGUAGAUUAGCAAUUGGUCAUUGUUAAUAGAUUUAAGGGUAUGAGACUUCCAAUAUGCGGCAACUGAGGAUGCAGAUAAACUCUGUCUAGUGCUGCAGCACUGGUCGUAACAACUGGUACUAAUUUGAUGAAAAAAUAGUCAACCCCAAAGGAAAAUUUGAUCAUUCAACUACAUUAAUUUCAAUUGAAUCUUGGACACACUUAACCUAGUUAUUUCAUUACGAUAUUGUUUUAUUUAAUUCUUAUCUCAAUCAUUGAUUACAAUAGACAUUACUUGACAAUUGUUUGCUUCGGGUUUAAGUUGAGUUGCGCUAUUGUGAGUGCUGUAGCAUUUCGAGUAACAUUAAUCCAUGUGGAGACGAUCUUGAAUACUUAUCACUUUAUUACUUGUUGUGUAUACUUGCACAUUGGCAUUGAUAGUAAUUGCUUAUAAAAUUUACCAACACAUAUCUAAACCACUUUGUAACCUCUUAUUAAAAGAUGCACCAUUUGAAUGAACUGAUGAUUGCCAAAAAUCUUUUGAGAAAAUAAUUUGACUUUUAACAUCAGCACCCAUUAUGCAAUCUUCUGAUUGGUCUCUUCCUUUUGAAUUAAUGUGUGAUGCAAGUAAUUUUGUUGUUGGUGUUGUUUUUGGACAAAGAAUGGAUGGUAAGUCGUUUGUGAUUUAUUAUGUGAGUAAGACCUUGGAUGGUACCCGAAUGAAUUAUUUGACAACUAAAAAAGAAUUACUUGCAGUGGUGUUUGUAUUAAACAAAUUUCGUUCAUAUUUGCUUGGUUCUAAAACUAUUGUUUUUACUAACCAUGCUGCUAUGAGAUAUUUGAUGACUAAACAGGAUGUCACAACCAAGACUAAUUCGAUGGAUUUUGUUACUACAAGAAUUUGACCUUACCAUCAAAGAUAAAAAAGGUGCCGAAAAUGUCGUUGCUAAUCAUUUAUCAAAACUCACAUUCGAAUUCUGCACUGACGUAACACCCAUCAAUGACUCCUUCCUAGAAGAAUUUUUAUUUUCUGUUACUUUAAUGCUAUGAUAUGCUAACAUUAUUAAUUUCUUUGUUACAGGUAAAAUGCCUUUGCAAUAGAAUACUCAAGAGAAGAAGAAAUUUUUAGUUGAAGUAAAGAAAUUUUAUUAGGAUGAUAUUUCACACAGGUGGUAUUUCACACAUGUGGUAUUUUAUGUAUUUUAUUUAGUCUUUAAUAUGGCAUACCUAGCAAAUGUUAUAUAAUUGUGUUUGAGAAUUUUAUUUUUAAAUGAUUUUAUCUUUUUAUUGAAAAUUUUUUAUUUUAUUUUUAGUGAAUUAUACAGUAAAUUAUUGACAAUUUAACAAAAAAUAUUUCAAAUAAUUGUUCAAAAAAUAAUAAAAUAAAUUAUUAUUUAAAUAAUAAAAAUGAAAUCGAUUAUUGCGUCAAAUGAUAUGGGUUCUCACGGCUAAACUAAUCAAAGUUAAAAAACGUGUCACUCCCAAACGAAUACCUUCGCAUGGAGGUCGCCCGGUGGGGCAACGCGCAAAUUGGAUUAGUGACUGAGAUUCUCGUUGCUCCUUUCCAAAUUAAAAUUUUCAAACGGAUGCUAAAUUGUUGAAUAAGACACCAAAUUCUAUUUCCACCUGUCGUUGUAAUGAUAUUAUAUCUUUGCUGCAUGUGUCACACUCUCACAUCCGUACAAGAAAUAUAAUAAAUAAAUAAUAUGAGAUAACGGAUGGUAAUAAUAUAGCAUGCCACCUCAGGUAUGUACCUCAGAAAUAUAAUUUAAAAAUAAAAAUAUAUAGAAACCCCUUUAAUUUAGGUUAAUUUAAAAUGUAUAAGGAAUAUUUCAAAUUUGAUAAAAGGUUUAAAAUGUAUAAGAAAUAUUAACGUUUAUGUGCAUAUAAAAUUUUUAAAAUUAACAUGAAGUUUCCCUUAGUUAGUAAUUAAUUUUAAACACUUAAAAAUUAACAUGAAAUUUCACUUAAGUAGUAAUUAAAAUUUUAAACGCUUUAUUUGAGAAUAAAAUCAUAAAUUAAAAUUAAUGAAUUGCACUUGAUAGUCUCAACUUACCCGAGCGGUUCGGCAUUCAUUUGAAAUUGUUAAUAUACUAUGGACUUCCUUGUUAUCUCCUAGUUAUGGAAGUGACUAAUGUAGCAUUUAUUUUUUUGUUUGAAAUUUAAAUAAACUUGAAUUAGUCACUAUUUUAAAUAGUGUUGAAUCUAAAUCAUAUUUUUUUUGUUUGAAUUACCAAAAAUAAGUAAUAAUUUAUUCUUUCUUUUAACUUAAAAAUAUGAAAAUCAGUAUUUCUACAUUUGUGCUCAUAGAAAUUAAAAAUGUUAAAUAAAGAAUAAAUAUUUCAAAGAAAAUAAAUAAAAUAAUAUGUUAUCAUAACAUAUGGUUAUUGCGAUCUUAAUAAAAGAUUUACUUUUUCUAUCCGUCGGUGUAGGCCAAUGACCGAACCAUAUUAAUUCUCCGUGUUUUUCUUAUUAUAUAACCUUAGCUAAACUAGUUCUCUAGUUGACCGCAUUUCUACAUCUAACAAUUCUUGUGAUGUAUAGGCAGCUGAAACAAUUUUUUGCGUUUUAAAACCUUUCUGACUGUAUAUCAUCAUUUUUUUUUUACGCACACCAGGAUUUGUGACGGCUAUACGGCCAAUCUCCGAUGCAAUAAAUAAAUAAAUAAUAAACGACGUCUAUUUCCACCGCAUAUGACUAUUACGCCAACAUUAUGGAAGUUCCUCACAAAUUUACGAAAAUGACCCUUUAUCUAAUAUUUUGAUAUUUUGUAAUUCUAUCCUCAUCAACAUUUUUAUAUUAAUUAAAAUUUUUAACGAACAUCAGUUGUAAGGUCCACAUCACAAUGACACAUCGUUAGAUACGUGACUACACGCACUAUGACACAUCAAGAUCACAAUGUUUUUAAUUAAGUUCAGUCUUAUUACAAAUGCACAACUGUCUGUCUACUAAUCUUUUUAUGUUUGGGAGUUAGAGUAAGUGUAGGAUUAGAUUAAUUUUCUAGACAAAAUAUUUAUUCCAUGUUUGACGGGCUCGCUUAAAUUUGAUUAAGAGGAUUAAAUUCAAAUUUAUUUUUACAAUUAUAGGAUUAGUUAUCAUAAUUUUCACAUGGGUUUAAGGAGAAUUAGAGUAAGCAAUGCUUGUCCCUUUAUGACAAUCUGUUUGUUUAUUAAUGAGUUGUUAUCUAUUUAAUUAAUUAUUUAUUUUUAUUCAUGAUUUCUUAAAAAUUAAGUAUUUAUUUUUUAUUCUACCCAUGUCAUCUUUUAUCAUUUAUUUAUUUAAUGUUAAAAGUAAUGCAUUAACAAAAUUACUUUUUAGAAACAUGCCAUUUAUCAUUUGAUUAUUAUACAAAUAUUUUUAAAAUAUUUGAUAAAUAAUUAAUUUUAUAUUUAACUAUUUUAGUUAUAUUUUUUUAAUAGGCAAUAAUAUGCAUCAUAUAUAAAAGCAUAUAAUUUUCAUAAUUUUAGUUGUUCUUGUUAAAAACCAUUUAAUUUCACUUAAAUUUAAUUUAACAUAGUGUAAUUAAAUAUUAUACUAAAUAUAAGAUUGUACUACAUAGAAAAAAACAAUGUAAUCCAAUUCAAUUUAAUCUAAUUGAAUUUUAAGUCUAUUUAAUCAUGCUUACUAAACGUAGCCUAACCUAUAACUAAAUCAUACAGUAUAUGAUUGAUUGAUAAUGAAAGAGUAAUCGCUGGCAGACUUAUGUUGUGGCUUGAGUCCAUUUCUUUGGAAAUAUUACAUCCAAUUUGGCCCUGCCAAUCGACCAGAUAGUUCAAAUUGACAAAAUGUCAAAAUCAAUUCAAUUGCGUGCACGCAGGUGUUGGCUUUCACUUUGAAUUUUUUCAAUUUCUAAUUUUUGGCAAAAGGCUAAACUAAUAAAAAUCAUAAAGCUGGUCAAUCCCACAACCAAACACGAGGUCCAUUCGAGUUUGAUUUACCACUCCUCUACGGAGUUAUUACACGACACUCUUAUUAAGCGUCACUUUGUGGGAUUAGAGGAAAAGGUUAAAGUUUGCUUACAUAAUCAUAAAGACCCCCUUAAUUUUUUAAAUUGUUACAAUCCUUAAUUUUAUAAAUAGUUAGACAAGUCUUUUUUUAACCAUUAUACCCUUGAUUACAACUAUUCAAUAUUCACUUUAAAUAAACUUUUAUUACAACAAUUCAAUAUUCAUUUUAAAUAAACUUUUACAAUAAAUAUAAAUUAAAAUGAAAAAAAAAUGUAAUGUAUAAAUUAAGAUAAAAUGUGUAAAUUAUUUGGAAUAUUAGAAAAGUUAUUUUAACAUCAUUAAUCUGUCAUAUUCUUUUAAUAAUAAAAAAAUCUAUUUGACAUAUUAAUAAUGAUAAAAUAACUAUACCUAAUAUUCAUAGUAAUUUAUAAAUUUUAUAUUAUUCUAUUUACUAUGUCUUUUUUUAAUUAUGUCUAUCAGUAUAAUAAAUUAAAGUCAAUUUUUGGAUUAAUACAUUUUAGUAUUAAUAAAUUCCAUCAGGAUAGACUAAUAACAACUUAAUAUUUAAGAUAAUUCAUUAUAUAGGCAAUUUUAUUAAAUAAACUUAUUGUAAUUUUUUAUUUAUAUCAUAUUAUAUAUUUUUAUUAUUUUUAUCUUAUUAUUGUAUUUAUAUUAAUUCAGAUUGUUAUAAUUAAAGGGUAUAAUAAUCAUUUAUGAAAUUAAGGUGUCUAUCUGACCAUUUAUGAAACGAAAGAGGGUUUAUGUGACCACUUAACAAAACCUUACGGUUGUGGGUGGCCUUUUCCCAUUCGAUUAUGCAGGAAACUAAGAUUCUGGUUACUUCUUUCCAAAUUAUGAAUUUCAAAUUCAAAUGCAUGUUGAAUUGCUGAAUAAGAUAUAAGUAUGGCAAAAUUUCCCGAUAGUAAUACUCUAUAUAGAAUUAAUUUUUAGUUAAUAAUAAAAAAUUUUGAUUUCAGUUUAGACCAGUUAUACAUAAGAAUAAACUUCAUAUUGUAAUAAAUUAUAGCUUUUUAAUCCAAUUUUAAGAGUUUUUAGAUCCCAUUUUAAGAAACUUGCCUCCACAUAGUAAUAAUUAUUAGUGUAGCGUAAAAAUAUAUGUUAUGUUAUAUUAAAGGAACUUACUUCCAGAUAGUACAAUUACACAAUGAGAGAUAAUUAAUGAAGAGAAUGCAAAAAAUUAGAGAUUUUUAAGAUGACUUUAAUAUUCCUAAUAAUAGUGCAUUGAUACAUUGUACUUAUUUUUUGAUAUAUUAAGAUUUGAUAUGCUCCAUUAAUAAAUUAUUAAUGUAUUACAUACUUUACCUCUAUAUUCUUACACUAAGGAUAAAUAAGUUAAAACAAUAAUUUUCGUAACUACUCAUCUAUUAAGUAAUAAUUUCUUCAUUGCAAUUAACUAAUUUGGUCCUAAUAUUAUAAGUAUAGAGAGAUAUUGCUAUAUUGAGAUUGAUUGAUAGAGCACACCAGCCUUGAAUUUCGUUAAUGUCCCUAUAUGGUACCAUUUCACACACAUCAAUAAUUUUACAUUGUAAAAAUACGGAGCCAUUAAUCAUGUAAAGAUUGUCAAUUCCCCCCCCCCCCCCCCUCCCGCCCGCCAGACCAUUAUUGGCCAUCUAUUUUGUUAUUUUAUUAUUGUUUUUAUAAUAACCUCUAAGCCAAUUUUUUAAAGGAAAUUGGUGGGCUCAAAAUUCAAAUAGCCCCACCAUUAUUAAAUUAACUUAAAAUCGUUUCCGUAGAAAGUAGGGUAUUAUUGAAAUUGAUUAUGCGAAAGAUAUUUUACGUGGCCCGCGAUCAAAUAGAUGUAAAUAAAGUUAACGUUAUUGCAAGAGUGAAUUGGCAUUGUUCAUAAAAAUUACAAUUCAUUAUAAGAGGAUUGCCAAUUGCUCUCCUACAGUAAUCAACAUAUACCAUUUUCUCCUCUAUUAUUUUUAUAAUGGCCAAAACCCCCCUGAUAGAAUAAAUUUACGAUAUUACCCUUAUUUUCAACUACUUUUUAUUUAUAUUUAUUAUAAAUUAAAUAAAUGACAUGAAUAGAAACUAAAUAAAAAAUUAAGCAUUAAAGAUAAGAAAUAUAUGUUUUGAUAUGAGAAAAAAAUUAAUAAUAAAUUUUUUUUCUUGUACUUAUUUAUUUUGUGAAAUUUUUCUUAUAAUAAAUAUAUAAGAAAGUUAUUAUAAAAUGAUAAAAAAUUUAUUAUAAGAAAAUUUGAAUGACAAAUAAAAAUUUAUUAUAAGAUAAAUAAUAAAAUAUUUUGCCUAUACUUUUUACAUUUAAUUUUAAAAUAUUACAAAAUAUUUAUUAUAAGAAAAUAUUCACAAAAUAAAUAAUUACAAGAAAAAAAAAUUUACUAUUAAUUUUUGUGCUCAUAUCAAAACAUAUAUUUCUUAUUUUUAAUACUUAAUUUUUUUAUUUAGUUUCUAUUCAUGUAAUUUAUUUAAUUUAUAAUAAAUGUAAAUAAAAGAAUAAUUAAAAAUAAGGGUAAUAUUGUAAACUUAUGCUAUCAUGGGGGUUUUUUACCAUUAUAAAAACAGCAAGGGGUAAAUAAUAUAUGUUAAUUACUAUAGGGGGGAAAGUGGCAAUCCCCGUCAUUAUAAAUAGUAAUGCCAUUGAUAACAUUCUUUCACAUUUUCUUUAUUACUGCAUAUAGCAAUGAAACCGAACAUGAGCGGUGUCCUUGUUUUUGCCUUAUUUCUCUUUGAAAUACUUGCCAUAGCAACCAUUAGCAUUAGCUUCUGCAACGGAAGUUCUUAUCACGGGGGUUGCCUUGAAAGUGAGAGAGGAGCACUUUUAAGGCUCAAGCGAGAUCUUAAAGACCCUUCUAACAGGCUUGCUUCUUGGACUGGCAGCGGAGAUUGUUGUGCAUGGACUGGUGUUGUCUGUGACAACAUGACUGGCCAUGUGCUUCACCUCGACCUUCGAAAUCCUUUCAAUUAUUCCAAGGAGUCUGAAUAUGACGCUAUUCGGGGGACAGCGCUUGUUGGUAAGAUAAAUCCUUCUUUGCUUGAUUUAAAGCAUUUGAGUUACCUGGACUUGAGCUUCAAUGAUUUCCAAGGUGAUCGAAUUCCUAGAUUUGUUGGCUCCAUGGGAAAUCUACGGUAUCUCAAUUUUUCUGGAACUCGAAUCGGCGGAAUGAUACCUCAACAACUUGGAAAUCUCUCCAAUCUGCAGUUUCUUGACCUUAGUUCAAAUUAUUUAUUAUACGUUGACAAUUUUUUGUGGCUUUCUGGUCUUUCUGUCCUGGAACACCUCGAUUUGCGUUCUGUGAAUCUUAGCAAAGCCUUUGAUUGGCUGAUGGUAGCAAACAAACUCCCUUCUUUGGUAGAAUUAAGAUUGUCAAAUUGCCAACUCCAACACUUCUCUCCAUUAGCCACCGCAAAUUUUUCGUCUCUCACAGUGCUUGACCUUUCCCACAACCAAUUUGAUAACUCGUUCAUUCCUAGUUGGGUCUUUGGUCUAAGUCAUUUGCUCUUUCUUGACCUAGGUUUUAAUAAUUUUCAAGGUCCAAUUCUUGGGGGACUUCAAAACCUGACUUCCCUUAAACAUCUGGGUUUAGAUUCCAACUACUUCAACUCUUCAAUUCCCAACUGGUUGUAUAGAUUCAUCCAUCUUGAGUACCUUAGUCUUCGCAACAAUAAAUUGCAAGGUACAAUUGACUCAGAGGCUCUUGGAAACUUGACUUCCAUCAGUCGGCUCGAUCUCUCAUUAAAUACUGGUCUUGCAGGGAGAAUUCCAAGAUCCAUGGCAAGACUUUGUAAUUUAAAGUCAAUCAAUCUUCGGGGUGUCCAUGUGAGCCAAGAAAUUUCUGAGAUUUUAGAUAUUUUCUCGGGAUGUGUUUCUAAUGGACUAGAGAGUUUAGAUAUGCGGAGUAGUUCAAUAUAUGGUCAUUUGACUGAUCAGCUUGGCCAAUUUAGAAAUCUCGUCACUCUUAAUCUUGCUAAUAAUUCAAUUGUUGGUCCUAUUCCAGAGUCAUUUGGUCAACUCUCAACCUUGAGAGAACUACAGAUAUAUGAUAAUAAGUUAAACGGAACAAUUUCUGAACUUCACUUUGCCAAUCUGACAGCACUGUCAUGGUUCAGAGUCGGUGGAAACCAAUUGACGUUGGAAGUGAAGCAUGAUUGGAUCCCUCCUUUCCAACUUGUUGCAUUAGGAUUGCAUAGUUGUUAUAUAGGGUCUCGAUUUCCUCUAUGGCUUAAUUCACAAAGGCAUUUACAGUUUCUAGAUUUAGUCAACUCAAGAAUUUCAGAUAUUUUUCCCAUUAGAUUUUUGAAAUCUGCUUCCCAAUUAAAGAUUUUAGAUCUCGAACAAAACCAAAUUCACGGGGAGAUGCCAAAUCUAACCGAGUUUACUCAACUUUUGUUUCUUUCCAUGGAUUCGAAUAAUAUGUCUGGUCCAUUACCCCUCAUAUCAUCCAAUCUCGUUUACCUUGGCCUUUCAUAUAACUCAUUCUCCGGGUCAAUUUCUCAUUUCUUGUGUGACAAAAUCAACGAGACAAAGAGAUUAGAAGCUCUUAAGCUGAAUGAUAAUUAUUUACAAGGAGAAUUACCUGAUUGUUGGAUGAGUUAUCAAAAUUUGAAGAUACUUAAACUAAGUAACAACAAAUUCACUGGUAAUCUUCCAAACUCAUUUGGUAGUUUAGCUUCUCUUGUUUGGUUGGAUCUUGGUAAAAACAGACUGUCUGGGACAAUACCUGUUUCUCUUAAAAAUUGUACAGCAUUAGAGUCACUUGAUGUUGGUGAAAACGAGUUUGUUGGCAAUAUUCCAGCAUGGUUUGGAGAAAGAUUUUCAAGAUUGGUUGUUCUCAACCUUCGUUCCAAUAAGUUUCAUGGCCCUUUACCCACUAGAUUUUGUGAUCUAGCUAUUCUUCAAAUCUUAGACAUCGCGGACAACAAUCUCUCCGGAGCCAUACCAAAUUGCAUUAAUAAUCUCACUGGCAUGGUGACAGCGAACUCUUUUUCACGCAGUGCUCAGCAACAUCUACCUGUUCCUCUGGACGUGGAUGUGAUUCUUACGGAGAAGGCAUCAGUUGUGAGCAGAGGGGAAGUGGUUGAAUAUGAUGAGAUUCUUAAUUUGGUAACGGUGACGGCUGUUUCCAGGAAUGAUUUACCGAAAAAUGUUCCUUUGGAAGUGAGAAAUCUUAAAGCAACGCAGUCAUUAAAUUUUUCGCACAACACUUUCACAGGAAGAAUUCCUGAAAGUAUUGGUGUUAUGAGAUCAUUGGAGUCUGUUGAUUUUUCUGUGAACCAACUUUCGGGUGAAAUUCCACAGAGCAUGUCAAAUUUGAUGUCCUUGAAUUAUUUGAACUUGUCCAACAACAAGUUGACUGGGAAAAUUCCUUCAAGCACUCAACUCCAGGGCUUCGAUGCAUCUAGUUUCGCUGGCAAUGAUCUCUGUGGAGCUCCUCUUCCAAAGAAUUGUACUGAGAAUGUUUCAAAUUCAGAAGAUGAAAAUGGAGAUGAAGACGAAGAUGAAUUGGACCAUUGGUUUUAUGUAAGCAUUGCACUUGGCUUUGUGGUGGGAAUUUGGUGUUUUAUAGGCCCUUUGAUUUUCAAUAGAAGAUGGAGGUACAAAUAUUGUCAUUUCCUAAAUCGCCUUGAGAGGAGAGUUGUUUGUGUUGUAAGAAAACGUGGCUAGAUUUUCUCUGUUUUUGAGUUGUUCUGCUUCUUCAUGUACUGUGCUCACUGAAAGGAAUAGAAUAUUACUUAAAUUAAACGAAUGGCCUUUGAUUUGUUUGUGCCUGUAAGGGAAAAUUAAUGUGAAAUUAUUUUGAAAUAAAGCGAUGAUAUUCAUAUUCAAAAUCAUAGGAGACCUUCCCAACUCAACAAAAUUAGUACUGAUAAAUCAAAAUUGAAAAAAUAUAUUUUAUGGACAGUUCACCAUGUAUAGGCUCAAUGAUUUUUAUACUAAAAAAUAUCAUAAAUCACAACAUUGGUAUCAAAAUGUUAAGAUCUUGAAAAAAUAAAUGGAAAAGCUUCUUAGAUUAACAAGCAGCACUGCAACAGGGGAGUGGGCUCAACUAUUCUCUAUUAUGCAAUCUUGACCCAUACUUCUCUCUUUUUUCACAUUUUAUCUAUGGAAUAUUUUCAAUGCAACAUUGAGAUUCACAACUAUCCAUGUAAAGACUAAUUGAAGAAAAAAAAUCCACUCUCCUCCUUAAAAGCAAAUAAAUAAAUAAAGCUUAGUCUUGGUUUAUUUCAUUAAAUAGAGUUAGUCAAUAACAUGUCAUGAGAUAUAUGGAUAGUUGUCCAUUUACUAUAUAACAAUCGAUUGGGUUAAAGUCGUCAAAUCUGAAUAUUGUUAUCUAUUGACUUAAAAGUCGUUUGCGUGGAAAUGAGGUGAAUCCUAAUCCAACUAACAGUACGAUAAUGUUGAAUUGGAUUAUGCGGAAGAAUUAUAAGGUCACACGUUAAGUUCAUUAAUUUGAAAGAGAGAAAUGGCCUUAUAAAUAGCAAGGUUGUUGGUAACACAAAUUCAAAUAGACAUUGACUCUGAUUAAACCAAAGAUGAGUGUUGUUCUCGUUUUUGCCUUGUUUCUCUUUGUAUUACUUGUCAUUAGCAUUAUCUUCUGCAAUGGAAGCUCUGAUCAUAUGGGUUGCCUUGAAAGUGAGAGAGAACCACUCUUAAGAUUCAAGCAAGAUCUCCAAGACCCUUCCAAUCGGCUUGCUUCUUGGAAUAUUGGUGGAGACUGUUGUACAUGGGCCGGCAUUGUCUGUGAUAACGUGACAGGCCAUAUCAUUGAGCUUAAUCUUCGAAAUCCUUUCACUUAUUACCAUCGGUCUCGGUAUCAAGCUAAUCCAAGGUCAAUGUUGGUUGGUAAGGUAAAUCCUUCUUUGCUUGAUUUAAAUCAUUUGAGUUAUUUGGGCUUGAGCUUUAAUGAUUUCCAAGGGGUUCAAAUUCCUAGAUUUAUUGGUUCUAUACGGAAUCUAAGGUAUCUCAAUCUCUCUGAUACUCAAUUUGUAGGAAUGUUACCUCCCCCGCUUGGAAAUCUCUCCAAUCUAAAGAGUCUUGACCUUAGUUUGAAUUAUUUAUACGUUGAGAAUUUUUUGUGGCUCUCUGGCCUUUCAUUUCUGGAACAACUCGAUUUGUGUUAUGUGAAUCUCAGCAAAGCCUCUGACUGGCUGUUUGUAGCAAACACACUCCCUUCGUUGGUAGAAUUGAGAUUGUCAAAUUCCCAACUCCAUCACUUACCUCCGUUAGCCAUCUCAAACUUUUCAUCUCUCACCGUCCUUGACCUUUCCUUCGACCAAUUCGAUAACUCGUUAAUUCCUGGUUGGGUUUCUAGUCUCAGUCAUCUAGUCUUUCUUAGUUUCUAAUAAUUUUCAGGGUCCAAUCCCCAGCUGGUUGUAUAGACAUACCCAUCUUGAACAACUUAGUGUUGCGGACCACCCAAGUUGCUAUCUCAAUUGCCCACAAUUUCGGGAUAGAGAGCCCAAGACAAGGCUAAGAGUGCUAGCUUGGCCCGAUUCCAAAAAGUUCUAGGCAACUCUAGCACAUUUGAGCUUUUAAAUAUCUAGAAUGCUCCACACAUUUCCAACACAUGUAAAUAUCUAGAAUUCUAGGCCACUUGGUAGAAUUCUCUAGCAUUGUAGAGCAUGGCAAGCCUCAGAGCAUGGCAAGCCUCCCCUAUAAAUAGGGCAUGACAUUUAGUAUUUGAGCAACAAGCUUAGAGCAAGCAACUCAAACACUUGUAAGCUCUCUUGUAAUCUCUCUUGUGAAUAAUACAAUUCUCUUCAUUCAGCUCCAUUGCUCUCUUCUCUCUAACUCUUCAAAAACCUCUAGGCUUAGCUAGUCGAGAAGAUCAAGACUUACUUAGCAACAUUCGGCAAAGGUUGUCUAAGUGCCGCACGGGUUUGCUGCGCAAAACACUUAUCCCGUGACAUUGGUCUCUCGUACAAUAGUCUUGAAGGGAGAAUUCCAAGAUCCAUGGCAAGUCUCUGUAAUUUGAGGACAAUCUAUCUUUCAGGUGCUAAAUUGAGUCAGGAAAUCUCUGACAUCUUUGAUAUUUUCUUAGGAUGUGUUUCCAAAGGACUAGAGAUUUUGGUUUUGCGAAGUAAUUCAAUUUUGGGUUGUUUGACAGAGCAAAUUAGGCACUUUAAAAAUCUUGACACUCUUGAUCUAGGAAAUAAUUCCAUCGUAGGACUUGUUCCAUUGUCUUUGAAUGAACUUUCAAAAUUGAGAAUAUUACAUCUGCCUGAUAAUAAACUAAAUGGAACUCUUUCUGAAAUUCACUUUGUCAAUUUGACAAAAUUAUCUGUAUUCUCCGUCAAUGAAAACAACUUGACAUUAAAAGUGAAUCAUGAUUGGGUUCCUCCUUUUCAACUUGUUCAAUUAGGAUUACGAUCUUGUUAUGUAGGGUCUCAAUUUCCUCAAUGGCUUCACUCACAAAAGCUUUACAAAUUCUAGAUUUAUCCAACUCAAGAAUUUCAAGUUCUUUUUUGAAAUCUGCUACUAAUUAAAGUUCUUAGAUCUCAGUGAAAACCAAAUUCACGGGGAGAUGACUAAUCUAACCAACGCUACUCAACUUUGGUAUCUUCGCUUGCAUUCGAAUAAUUUGUUGGGUCUAUUGCCUCUUAUAUCAUCUAAUCUAGUUUACCUAGAUCUUUUCAAUAACUCAUUCUCAUGAUCAAUUUCUCAUUUCUGAUGUUAUAGAAGCAAUGAGACAAAGAGAUUAAGAGCUCUUAGUCUGGGUGAUAAUUACUUACAAGGAGAAUAACCCGAUUGUUGGAUGAGUUAUCAAAACUUGAUGCUACUUACACUAAGUAACAACAAAUUUACUAGUAAUCUUCCGAACUCAUUGGGUAGUUUAACUUCUCUUGUUUCAUUGCACCUUUAUAAAAACAUAUUCUCUGGGACAGUACCUAUUUCUCUUAAAAAUUGUACAGCAUUAAUGAUACUUGAUGUUGGUGAGAAUGAAUUUGUUGGAAAUAUUUCAACAUGGUUUGGAGAAAGAUUUUCAAGAGUGGUUGUUCUCAUCCUUCGUUCCAACCAGUUUCAUGGUCUUUUACCUACAUGUUAGUGAAGCUGCUAAAUAGGAAGAACAGAGGAAUUGAGUGCAGUUCAUUCAUCUGUGCUUGACAGCAGCUGAUUUACUCUCUUAGCUGACGUGGCUUAGUUAGUUAUCUUGAUUUAGCGUUCUUCAUAUGUGUGUAACAGAUUACUAACAGAUGUAACAAGUUGCUCUCACGAGAUAUAUAUAUUUGUGUAAUCUGUACUGAUGCUAAUAAUGAGAAGUUUCUAAAAGUUUUCAUUAUGAGAUUUUCUUUCAUUUUCUUUUAGCUUUCUCACUUACCAAACACAAAUACUUGAACUUCUAUCAUAGUAUCAGAGCCAUCAAUGGCAAGCAUGAUUCAAUCUAAUACUUUCUAUAGCUUUGUUACACCUGUAAAAUUGGAUCAAAAUAAUUUUAUCUUGUGGAGAACACAAGUCUUAGCAUCAGUCAAAGGAAACAGUUUAGAAGGUUUCAUCAAUGGUGAUCUGAAAUGUCCAGAGCAAUUUCUUCCAUUUACUAGCACUGGUGAAGCUUCGACAUCAAGUGUAAGUGAGUCACGAUCUGUAAAUCAUGACUUCAUUACUUGGACGAAAACGGAUCAAAUCCUCUUGAGUUGGAUGCUAUCAUCCAUUCAGCAAAGCUUAUUGUCAACCGUGAUCGAUUGUGCUACUUCAAAACAACUUUGGGAUUCACUUAACAGUAUGUUCAUUUCUCAGUCCCAAGCUCAAAUUCAAACUCUUAGAAUGCAGAUCCAAACUAUUAAGAAAGGAUCUAUAAGUAUGGUUGAGUAUUUCACUAAAAUCAAACGAAUAGCAGAUACAUUAGCCUUAGGAGGAAAAUCAGUAGAGCUAAAUGAUUUUGUUAUACAUGUGUUGACUGGUCUUGACUCUUCUGAUUAUGAUUCCUUGAUAACUGUUGUUCUAGCUAGAGAAGGAACUAUAACCUUAAAUUAUCUAUAUUUGUUGAUUCUAAAUCAUGAAAAUAGGAUUGAACAAAAGAAAGGCAAAAUUGCCAGUGAUGUUAUGCAUCACAUGUCAGCAAAUAUAGCUCAGAAAAGUCAAUAUUCUGGUAAAAAUAACAAUGGUUUUCAGAAAAACUUUGGAGGUAAUUUCGGUGGUGAUAAUAGUCCAAAUUUUGGUGGUUAUAAUAAUGGAUCUUAGUUCGCUGGUGGAAGAAAUUUCUUAGAUGUUAUCUGUCAAAUUUGCUUCAUUCCUGGAUAUGGAGCAAAUGGGUGCAACAAUAUAUUUAAUCCUUCUUUUGUCCUUUAGAAGAAUUUUGGUAGAGGAAAUUUCAAAGGUCAAUAUGGUAGAGGCAGAUCUUUCAAUGGUUUUGGAAGGGGCUCAGUGUUUCCUGGACCUAAUUUUAGAUCUAAUUUUGGAAACUCCUAUAUGCCUAGAGGAGCUACUUUUCAAGCAAAUAUGGCAUACUUAGAUCAUGUUAUCAUCUAUGGUUAUCCUCCUCUCAACUACAGCAUUGGUUUCAAUGCUUUUACUCCUGGAUACGCACAUGGUUUUUCUACUCCUAGUUUCACUAAUGGAUUAUCUCCAUAUUUUCUUGGAAAUGUUACUAAUGGAAUGCCUAGUACUUCAGCUCCACCAGCUCAGACAAAUUGUGCUGCAAAUCCAGAGAUUGUUGAAGAUCCCUCAUGGUAUAUUGACAGUGGAGCCACAAAUCACAUCAUAAAUGAUUUAGGUAAGCUAGUCAAUUCUAAAGCUUAUGUUGGUAAUCAACAAUUAUUUGUUAGUGAUGGAAAUGCAUUGCUUAUUGAACAUAUUGGAUCAGUUCAGCUUGCCACAAACACCUUUGAAUCAUUGUUUCUUAAUCAUGUCUUACAUGCACCAAAAAUCACCAAAAAAUUGCUUAGUGUUUCAAAACUACUUGCUAACAACAAUGUUACACUUUAAUUUGUUGGUACUUCUUGUUUUAUUAAGGCUAGGAGCACCGGGAUCAUCUUGCUUGAAAGGGUUGCUAAAGGAGGCCUCUAUAAGAUUCAAAGUCCAAGCUCUUCCUCCCAUCCUCAGUCUGUCACUCAGUCUGUUGUUAUCAAUUCAGUCAUUCUUAGUCAGAAUAAAUUUCAGUCUCUCUUUGCUUGUCUUCCUCAUUCAGCUUGUGAAAAACUUAGCUCAAAUUUCUAUCAGGACAAUGAAAAAGUUUGUUUGUCUGCUGUUACUACAAAGUCUCUUGAUGUAAAUCUUCUCCAUAUAAGAUUGGGGCACCCUGCCAUUCACACAUUAAAAACAGUUCUGAACUCAUGUAAAAAGUUUGUUGAUAUCAAUAAAAUUCAAGAGUUAGAAUUCUGUAAUGCAUGUCAGUUUGGGAAGAAUCAUAUGCUUUAUUUUAAUUCUAUUCAAACCACUUCUACAGCACCAUUACAACUUCUUUAUGUAGACCUUUGGGGACCUUCUCAUGUUGUUUCCAACUAGGGUUACACUUAUUACAUGUCCAUACUCGAUGAUUUUAGUAGGUUUACUUGGAUUUUCCCAUUAAGUGCAAAAUCUGAUGCUUUACCUGUAUUUGUUAGCUUUAAAAAUUUCAUUGAAAAACACCUACAAAGAAGUAUCAAGAUUGUUCAAACUGAUUGGGGUGGGGAAUUCAAGUCUUUUUCCUCUUUACUCAAUAACUCAUGAAUACAUUUUAGGCAUUCAUGUUCUCAUAUCCAUCGUCAAAAUGAGAGAAUUAAGAGAAAACACAGACACAUUGUUGAUAUUAGUCUUACCUUACUUGCUCAAGCCCAUCUACCCUUAAAGUUUUGGUGGGAUGCCUUUCAUACAUCAGUCUUUUUUAUUAACAGACUUCUUACACCAACUCUGCAUAAUAUCUCUCCAUAUCAGAAACUUUUUCACCAAACACCAGAUUAUUCUAUUCUUAGAAUCUUUGGUUGUACAUGUUUUCCUUACCUUAGACCUUAUAACAGACACAAACUUGAGUUCAGAAUUGGGAGAUGCAUUUUUAUUGGAUACAGCUCUCAUCAUAAGGGUUAUAAAUGUCUUCAUUCAUCUAGAAGAGUCUAAAUUUCAAAUCAUGUGGUCUUUAAUGAAAAAUCCUUUCCUUAUGUUCCUUAGGUAGAUUUUUCAUCAGUCACAGAAAUUGUUCCAAUCAAUUCUUCAGAUUCAAUUGAGUCGGAUUCUGAGUUUUCCUUGUCCUCUCCUGUUACACAAUUCCAGGCUCCUUUAAUAGCAACUUCAGCAGCUGAUCCUGCAUCUCCAGUUUCCAAUUCUAAUCAAGUACUGUCUCAAAACUUUAAUGCUCAUCCCUCACUAUCACACUCAACUACUGCCACACCUGAUACCUCAACAUUCACUUCUCCUUCAAAUAAUACCCCCCUCAUAUUCUUCAUGCACCUUUUUCUAUUGGUCAUUGUAUGAUCACCAUAUCAAAUAAUGACAUUUUCAAGCCAAAGUCUUAUCUUUCUGUCCUUUUAGCACAAACAUAUGAGCCUACCUUUGUUUCUCAAGCUAUAUCUGAUCCAUAAUGGUUCAAACCUAUGCAAGAAGAGUUUAAAGCUUUAAAAGUCAAUCACACAUGGGAUUUGGUUCUACCUACUGCUCCUGUUAAAGUAGUUGGUAACAAGUGGGUUUCCAGAAUCAAAUAUAAUCCUAACGGGACCAUUUUGAAGUACAAAGCACGGCUAAUUGCUAAAGGCUUCCAUCAGACACAUAGUGUUGAUUAUACUGAAACCUUUAGUCCAGUAGUAAAAGCAUCUACUGUCAGGGUAGUUCUAAGCAUUGCAGUCAUGAACAAUUGGCUUCUUAGGCAAAUAGAUGUAAAUAAUGUCUUUCUGAAUGGUAUUCUUGAUUAGGAAGUGUAUAUGUCACAACCUGAAGGUUUUAUUGAUCCUCACAAACCUCAACACAUUUGUAAACUAAGGAAAGCUCUCUAUGGUUUAAAACAAGCUCCAAGAGCUUGGUUUGCUAGACUUAAAACAGCUAUGCUUUCUCAGUGGCAUUUUCAGAAUUCCAAGUCAGAUAAUUCACUCUUUUAUAAGAGAGAAAAUGUUCACUUAAUUUUGGUUUUGGUAUAUGUGGAUGAUAUUAUUAUUACUGGUUCUUGCUCAGUCAAAGUUCAACAAGUUAUUCAAGACAUGUAGAAGACUUUUGCCUUGAAAGAUCUAGGAGAACUUAGCUACUUCGUAGGCAUUGAAGUUUCUAAACUUCAAAAUGGGAUCCAUUUGUCUCAGGCUAAGUACAUUGUUGAUAUUUUGGCAAAACAUGAUUUAGUCAACUGCAGUCCAGUGCCAACACCUAUGUCUACAGCCCAGCAACUUACCAAAGAUUCAGGCUCUGAGAUUUCCAAUAUUUCUCAGAGUAGAAGCAUUAUUAGAGCCCUGCAAUAUGUUACUCUCACUAAACCAGAAAUAGCCUUCACUGUAAAUAAGCUCAGUCAGUUUCUAUCCAAUCCGAGAAUUGCACAUUGGGAAGCAUGCAAAAGGUUGUGAAGAUAUCUUAAAGGCACAAUUCAUUUUGGUCUUCAAUUCUACAACUGUGGAGCUAUGCAGAUCAAUUGUUUUACUGAUUCAGACUGGGCUUGUGAUCGAGAUGAUAAGAAGUCAGUUGCUAGGUUUGGUGUUUAUCUAGGUGCCAAUCUAGUUUCAUGGUCAUCUAAAAAGCAAUCAGUUGUCUCAAGGUCUAGUACUAAAGCUUAGUACAGAGCCUUGGCUCAUGCUGCAUCAGAGGUCAUUUUGAUACAGUCUUUGCUUGCUGAGCUGAGAAUUCAACUAAGUGCUACACCAAUUAUGUGGUGUGAUAAUCAGCGUGCAAUAGCAUUAGCUUACAAUCCAGUUUAUCAUGCUAAAACAAAGCAUGUUGAGCUGGACAUUCACUUCAUCAGAGAUAAAGUGGCAUCUAAAGAGUUAGUUGUUUGUUUUGUGCCCAGUGAAGAUCAAAUAGCUUAUGUUUUGACUAAAGCCCUUACUUUCACUCAGUUUCAUUAUUUAUGUAGCAAGUUAAAUGUUCAUCCUAGAACCUUCAGCUCAAGAGGGGAUGUUAGUGAAGCUGAUAAUUUGUAGAGAACAGAAAAUAAGCUUCAGCUUAAGAGGGGAUGUUAAUGAAGCUGCUAAAUAUGAAGAACAGAGGAAUCGAGUGCAGUUCAUUCAUCUGUGCUUGACAGCAGCUGAUUUACUCUCUUAGCUGACGUGACUUGGUGACGUGGCUUAGUUAGUUAUCUUGAUUAAGCGCUCUUCAUAUGUGUGUAACGGAUUACUAACAAAUGUAACAAGUUGCUCUCACGAGAUAUAUAUAUUUGUGUAAUCUGUACUGAUGCUAAUAAUGAGAAGUUUCUAAAAGUUUCCAUUAUGAGAUUUUCUUUCAUUUUCUUUUAGCUUUCUCGCUUACUAAACACAAAUACUUGAACUUCUAUCACUACAAGAUUAUGUGAUCUGGAAUUUUUACAAAUCUUAGACCUUGCUGACAAUAAUCUCUCUGGAUCCGUACCAAAAUGUAUUGGUAAUCUCACUGCAAUGGUGAUAGUGAACUCUUUCAUACGAAAUGUUGCGCAAUAUCUACCUCUUCCCCCAGACAAGGAUGUAACUUUAGUGGAUCGGGCAUCAAUUGUGACCAAGGGGAAAUUGGUUGACUCUGGAAAGAUUCUUGAUUUUGUCAGGCUGAUAGAUAUUUCCAGGAAUAAUUUCUCAGGAAAUAUUCCUUUGGAAGUGACAAAUCUUAGAGCAUUGUAGUCACUGAAUUUUUCGAACAACUCUUUCAUAGGACAAAUCCCUGAAAGUAUUGGUGCUAUGAGAUCAUUAGAGUCCAUUGAUUUUUCUAUAAACCAUCUUUCUAGUGGAAUUCCACAGAGCAUGUCAAGCUUGACAUUCUUGAGUCAUUUGAACUUGUCCAACAACAACUUAACUGGCAAAAUUCCUUCAAGCACUCAACUUCAAAGCUUUGAUGCAUCUAGUUUUGUUGGCAAUGAUCUCUGUGGAGCUCCUCUUCCUAGGAAUUGAAUUGAUCGGAACGUUUCAAUUCCCAAAGAUGAAAUUGGAGUGGAAGACGAAGAUGAAGUGGAAUACUGGUUGUACGUUAGCGUGGCACUUGGAUUUGUGGUGGGAUUUUGGUGUUUUAUAGGCCCUUUGCUUGUCAAUAGAAGAUGGAGGUAUAAAUACUGUUAUUUCCUGAAUCGCCUUGGGACAGAAUUUUUGGUGUCUUAAGUAAAUGUUGCUAGAUUUUCUCUGUUUUUGAGUUGCUCUGCUUCACGUACUAUGGUCUUGAAAGAAAUAAAAUAUUACUUAAAAUGAACGAACGGCCUUUUAUUUGUUUGGCGCCUGAAACGGAAAAUUAAUGUGAAAUAUUUUUACACGAACAGGAUGAUAUUACAAAUCAUAGGAGACCUUUCCAACGCAACAAAAUUAGAACUGAUAAAUCACAAGUGAAAAAUUAUAUCUUCUGAACAGUAUGUUAAAUAUUCCUGUACGAAUCAACAUUUUAUGUAACCCCGAUGACUUUUAUGUUAAAUGUGAUAAUAAAUCACAACAUUGGCAUCAAAAUGUUGAUUCGUACCAAGAUCUAGGAGAAAAACAAAACAAAGGGGGGAAGCAACACUAGAACAGGGGAGGGCUCGCCUAUUCCCUAUUAUGCAAUCUUGACACAUACUUCUCUCCCUUUUUUUUUCGUUUAAUGGAAUAUUUUUGCAAAGCAAAAUUGAGAAUCACAACUAUUCAGGUAAAGAGCAUAACUUUUUAAAUAUUUACUGUGAUAAUUUUCAUAGGCUUGGUAACAGAUAACAGAAAUUCCCACAGGAACCGAGGUCCUCAGAAAUUUUUUUUUUUUUUCAUUUGGAAAAGGUACAAAAUAAUUUUAUAUGAAAUUUUUUAUUCGAGCAAGGGACUGGAAUUUGGUGAAAUCUCAACCCUCCCCAUUUCCUCAUUUAUAUUUUUUUAUUAGAAUUAUUAUUUUAUUUCUUCUUCUAAUUUUAAUAGUAAAUACAUUUAAAAUUUAAAUUGUAACAAUAUGGAUGCAAAUAACAAUAUCAUAAAUUUAUUUAAAAAUAAUAUAAAUAACAGCUAACAUAAAGAUUUGAAGUCUGAUGAAGAAAAUUUUGUUGAUGAUUCAUACUACGUAACUUUUAUGGAUGUGUUCAUCUUUUAAGCUUUACUUUUGCUUAAUUUUAUAAAUUAUCUUGUAAUUUUGAUGCAUUGACUUAAUUUGAUAGAAAUGAUUUUAAGUACGUUAGUUUAUUUUGAUAUUUUUGUGUUGAUAAUAUGAUUUUAUAUUUUUACUUUAUUAUGACUAAAUCAAGUUCAUAAAAUAAAAGUAUCUAAUAUGCGAGAGUAGGGUAUUCUUGAGGUCUACUUUUUAUUAUUUGGGGAUUUCAUCCCCUUCCUUCAAGUAAUUUUAAAAGGGAUGAGGAGAGUAUGGGGGUGGAGUGUCAGAAAUCAAUACCGGGAUUUCGAUCCCCUGUCCUCUCCUCCCCAUUGCCAUUAGUAGCCACAGUGCAAACCAUUUUUGGCAUCCAAAUUUCCAGUCAGGUGAUUCAAUAUCUAAAAAGCUGUAAAAGAAACAACAAUGGUAAGCGAAAAUCGAAAUUAAUGAAUGAGAUCAUUAACAUACGAAAUUUGAAAACGUUGACGAAUGGUUUUGUUCUUGUUUAAUUGAACUUCAAAUUAACUAUAUCCAGCCUUGGCUUUCAAUUGGAAUUUUUCAAUUUCAAUUCGUAAAUCUGAUAUUAGAAGGCCAAUCCGGCAAACAAACAUGAGGCCCUUUUUUUCUUUAAAAAAAAAAAAAAAACAAAUGACGCCCAUUUAGGUAGAUUUACACCCCCUGGACGCGAGUUAUUUAGAGCUUGGUCUUGUGCUUGGAGUUCUUUCUCAUUAGCUUGUUGUCAACCUAAAAUUAUUUUCACAAUGUAUAAACUAAGAUGUCGUUUUGGCUUGUGCCUGUUCGGACAUCAGUUCGGACAAAUCUUUCGGGCAUUACAGAUUUUUUAUUAAAUUUGCGAACAUGAAAAGCCAUAAUAUAGUCUCUAAGUUAAAAUAAACGAAUUAACAGAUACUGGUGGUGUUUGGUUGCUAAGAAAGUAUACGAGAUUCGAGUGAAAAUGAGAAUUAUAAAUCACAGCUAUCUACAAAAUGAAGAGCAACUGACUUGAUAUACAAGUUAAUUGUCUUGGUUUACACGUCAUCAACUGUCUAACCAAUUUCUCAACUAAUUGUUCACAAUCAGCUCGUUAUGUAAACACCAGAGGUGAGGUGCAUGGCAAUCCAUAUCAUCAAUCCGCAUCUGCGUGCCUGCAAUUGAGCUGGUCCUCUGUGGUGGUCUUCAUGGCACUGUAAUCUUGAGCAGACUUAAGACGUUGGAUUCAUAAUCUUUGCUUAAUUAGACAAUUGCAUAUUUGAAAUACCAAGUGUAUAUAUAUAUCGGGAACAGAGCUUACAAUUAUGUUAAUCUUUUUAAAUCUUAUGAACCUAACACAAAUUGGUUCAAUUUAGUAAAAGAGAAUAAAAAUUUACGGACACUAAAGUGAAAUUGAGGGGAAAAAAGAAUACCAAUAGUUAUAUAGGCCACUCAAUAUACAUGGUUCAACUUUUCAGUCUAUGUUCAUAACUAAAGAUGUAUUUUACGAAAAUAUUUCACUAAUAAAAAGGGAGAGUAGAAAGUUAAAGGAGAAGAUCAAAUACAAGUGUAUUUCACGACUCCUGUAAAAAAGCCAUGGCACGAAAUUUUUUUAGCAAAUUAAAAAGUACGAUGUUUUCAUGGGUCAGGCGAAGUUACAGUUACUGUAACUUACAAAUGUUCUGAUUUUUUUUCUGUUGAACACGGGUAAUGUUUUGGCACCAUUCCCCAGGCAAAGUAGAACUGAUGCUAUGAUAUGUAUAACCCACUGAAUUCCUAAGUCGUAACCCACAAAAUUACGGAAACGACUUUUUACCUAGUAUUUUGAUUUUUUGUCAUUCCAUCCUUAUCAAUAUUUAUCAUAUUAUCUGAUAUUUUUAAUUAACUUUAGGCUUAAAUAUUUUUGUUCCACAAAUAAUGUACAGCUGUCUAUCUACUAGUCUUUCGAAGGACUAGAAUUGAAUCAAUGCAGAAUAUGAUUGACAAUGCAAGAGUAAUCGUUGGCAGACCUAUGUUGUGCCUUGGGUUCAUUUCUUUGAAAAUUUACAUUUAAUUUGGCCAUGUUGACUAGUCAGUUCAAAUUUAAUUGGCUAAAUGUUUGGCUUUCACUUAAAAUUUUUCAAUUUCUAAUUUUUGACAAAAGGGCUAAAUUAACAAAAGUAAAAAAAAAAAAAAAAAAAAAAAGGAGUCAAUCCCGCAAACAAACAUGAGGCCUAUUUGAGUUGAUUUUACACCCCUGCCUAUGUGGUUCAAGAUUAAGCCACCGUUUGGUAUAAUUGUGUUGCCACAGCGUAACUACACGAAACCUAUAGUUUAGGAGGUAGCUAUCCUACUUAAAUGCAGUUGUUUCAAACGAGAUGUAAGUAUAGAAUUUGACUAAUUUGUAUUAAAAAAAAAAUUGACUCGACAUGCUCACUUGGAUUGGACCAGUAGAUUAGAUUUAAAUUUUAGUCCUAAAGUUAUAGGAUUAGUAAUCCAAAUUUUCGUAGGGUUUAGUUGGGAUAGAAAAUGAAAAGAAAAAUCUUUGUCCUUUCAUGAUAUCUUCCAUAAUUUAUUACAUUAUUUUUACUUAUAACUUAAAAAUUAUUUAUUUGCAUAUCAUUAUUAAUUAAUUUUCUAGUUAAAUAGUUUUAUUUAAUAUGAAUCAUUUAUCUCAUAUGAAAUAACGAAUAAUUUGAAAAAAAAAAUAUUUGCUUAUUAUAAUCAUUACUAUCUAAUAACUAAUUUAAUAUACAUUUAAUUUUUAUUAUUAUUCAGAUUAAUUAUAAUUUAUCUUAUUAAAUAUCUAUUCAUAGUUGAUAUUUAUAUUCAAAUAUCAACUUAAAUACUAUUUAACUUCAUUUAAAGUUAAUUUAACAUAAUUCAUUACUAUCUAUACGAAACAUUAAAGACACCUUCCGCAAGUAGCAGGUCACUCUGUGGGACCUGUGGAAAUUGGAUUAUGCAGAAAAUUGAGAUUAUGGUAAACUUUUUCCAAAUUAAAAAUGUCAAAUGGAUGUUGAAUCGCUGAAUAAGAUAUAUAUAUUGAAAUUGUUUAAUAGAGGACAUCGGCCUUGUUAAUAAAAUUUCAAUAUCGAUGUCCUUAUCUGAUACCAUUUCGCAGGCGUGAACAUUUUUACAGUAUAAAAACGAAACCAUUAUUCGUGAGUAUUGGUACAAAUAUAUACCAAAUUCUAUUUGUACAGAUGUUUUAAUGUCAUAUUUUUGUUGCAUGUCUCACAUCUUUAAAAGAAUAAUAGUACAUAUAAGUUAAGAAUUAAAAGAUUCAUAUAUAACUUUUAAAAAGAUAUUAAUUUAGUUUCAUUUAAAGUGUAUAAGUAAUAUUUCAAUUUGAUAAAAGUUUUAAACUGUUUAAGAAAUAUUAAGGUUUGCUUACAUAUAAAAAUUUAAAAUUACCAUGAUGCAUAUAAAAGUUUUUUACUUUCAUACGUCAGAACACUGUUUUAAUUUGCCAAUCACACCCAUGUUCGAAAUAAAAUUGAUAUAUUUGAGAGAAUUUGCUGAAGAAUAUUAAUUGAUACUUAACUAUGAACAAAACGACCAGCGAUCCUAAGGCUUAUAUGUUCAAGUUCCUUGGUAUUGAAUUAUUUCUUUGAAUGAAUUUAGUCGUAUGUCUUGAGCCAGAUAUGAAUCUAUAUCCUAUAAUGUUCGAUUUUCGGCAUCAGCAAAAUAAUAGCCUUAUGUUCUCCUCUUUAUUUUUUCUUUUUAAGAUAUAUAUUCUCCUUUUUAUUUAAUGGAUGGACUAUUUAAACUUACCAAAUUCUCCCCUACACCCAUCGAAAAAAAAUAUCAAGUAUUAAAAAUUAAAAAUUCCAAAAUCUUAAAAUUAUCCUCCACUCAUUUCCUCUCUUUACUUCAAGAUUUGUAUUUUAUCCCUCUACUAUCGCGUUAUGCAACCUAAAAUCUUAGUUCCAUUCUUUUAGCCGCUGAUCCUUUUUUGUUUUUAUUAUCAAAUCAAACUCUAUUUCUUUCUUUGUAUUACAUUUAUUUAUUUUUUGCUCGUUUUAGAUUUGUUGUUUUAGAACAAAUAUUUAACCCAAAGGAUUUGUACAGUUUUCAUGGCAUUUUUUGAAGGUAAACUCUUCAUUUCAGGAUAAUAGUAAGUCAAAGAUAACAAGUUAGAUGUGGUGGAAAUUCUUCCACCUCUACAAGCAAAUCACAAUAACAAAGUACAAAUUUGGUCAACGCAUGCGCUGUUGAUUACAAGUCUUUGAAAUAUGUCAUAACCUGAAAGAGUUGUGCUAGAGAGAAAUAAGCACAAGAGAAAGACGAGAGAAUUUUGCCCUCUCUCUCUCUACCCACUCAUUCUCUCUCUACCACUUUCUUCAUUGUUUCUCUCGUCUUUCUCUCGUAUUUCUCUACACCAAGCAUUUUCCAACCUGAAAUUCUGCUUUAUUAAUAGCAACAAUUGCACUUCAGUGACGAUUGAAAACAGCUCAGUACAUAUACUUCGAUGUCCUAAAACAAAUUGGGUGAUACGCAACGAAUUCGACUUUACUAUCAAAAGAGAUAAACCAAUCUCACUCGCAAUUCACAAACCAAAGCGUAAGGCUUCUGCCUCAGGAAUAUUGACAUCAUCAAAAUAGACUCCAACAUCACCCCCGGCCAUCAUAACCGAACCCUUAUUAUUUCAUACCACUGCACCAUAAGCCACAAUUCCAUGUUGAACAACCAUCGAAGAAUCAGUGUUAAGAUUGAACCAGUCCAAAUCAUGUGGCUGCCAAGCAACAUAACCUAAAUUCAAAUGCUCCAAAUUACUUCCCACGGGUUGUAAUGGCUCACAUGAAACAGAAUCCCCUAAUUCCAAAGCACGAGCGACAAUACAAGGAAGAAACAAGGUGUUAAAUCGUUGAUUGAUAUUAAAUAGAAGGUUUAGAGAAAAAGUUGGCGGGUUCAAAAUCCAAAUAAUCCCACCCUUACGUAACUGACUACUUUAUUAAGUCAUUUCCACAGAAAGUAGGAUGUCAUUAAAAUUGAAUUUUGCGGAAGAUAUUUAAGUGGCCCACUAUCAAACAGUUGCUGAAAUAAUUGCUGAAAGAUCUGCAAGAGGCUAUCGGCAUGGUAAAUUCAAAUAGUAAUUACGCAAUCCAUUAUAAAUAGCAAUGCCGUUGAUAACAUAUUUCUCAUGCACACAUUUCCUUUGCUACUGCAAAUAGCAAUCAAACCAAACAUGAGUGGUAUCCUUGUUUUUGCCUGCCUUCUCCUAGAAUUACUUGUCAUUAGUAUUAGCUUCUUCAGAGGAAGUUCUUAUCAUGUGGGUUGCCUUGAAACUGAGAGAAGAGCACUUUUAAGGUUCAAGCAAGAUCUCCAGGACCCUUCCAAUCGGCUUGCUUCCUGGACUGGUGACGGAGACUGUUGUACAUGGGCUGGCGUUGCCUGUGGCAACGUGACAGGCCACAUCCUUGAGCUUAAUCUUCGAAAUCCUUCCACUUCUAAUCCAAGAUCAAUGCUGGUUGGUAAGGUAAAUCCUGCUUUGCUUGAUUUAAAGCAUUUGAGUUACCUGGACUUGAGCUCUAAUGAUUUUCAAGGGGUUCAAAUUCCUAGAUUUAUUGGUUCUAUGCGGAAUCUAAGGUAUCUCAAUCUCUCAGACACUCAAUUUGUAGGAAUGAUACCUCCCCAACUUGGAAAUCUCUCCAAUCUACAGUUUCUUGACCUCAGUUCGAAUUAUUUAUAUGUUGAUUAUGUUUGGUGGCUCUCUGGCCUUUCUUUCUUGGAACGCCUUGAUUUGCGUUCUGUGAAUCUCAGCAAAGCCUCUGAUUGGCUGAUGGCAACAAACACACUCCCUUCUUUGUUAGAAUU
rnacentral:lncRNA from 1 species